GAUGCGAUCAUACCAGCACUAAUGCACCAGAUCCCAUCAGAACUCCGCAGUUAAGCGUGCUUGGGCGAGAGUAGUACUAGGAUAGGGGACCAACCAGAAAGUCCUCGUGGUGCAUCCCACUUUUUCUUUCGGUUUUUCUCUAUUUUGUUUUGUUAAAAAUGUAUGACUCUAUAACGUUUAGACCGUGAGGCAAAACUUGGAAUGUGAUACCUUUUCGGAAAGCCCAAAGAGAGCUCUCCGAUAAAUGAGGAAGGAAAAUGGAAUUCUUCUAUUGGUUUUUUAUUCUACUCCAAAUUUUGACCUUAAUGUACUUUUUUGGUCUUUUUGGUGAUCUUUGCUAUAUGACAGGGCGAAAAUUAUAUGAUCGGACAUUGUUUUCGAAUAUUUUGCAUGUAUCAAAGCUCUUAUAAACAAGAUAGGGUAUUCCUACAUAGCUGGUGGGAGCCACGGCAAAUGGAUCUUAAAGUCUUCAAAAAAAGAAUAGAUACGAUUGCAUUGGAUGUAGUAAACGGAUGCGAUCAUACCAGCACUAAUGCAACGGAUCCCAUCAAAACUCCGCAGUUAAGCGUGCUUGGGCGAGAGUAGUACUAGGCUGGGUGACCUCCCGGACAGUCCUCGUGUUGCAUCCCUCUUUUCUUUUUCGGUUUUUCUCUAUUUUGUUUUGUUAAAAUUGUAUGACUCUAUAACUUUUAGACCGUGACGCCAAACUUCGCAUGUGAUACCUUUUCGGAAAGCCCAAAGAGAGCUCUCCGAUGAAUGAGGAAGGAAAAUGGAAUUCUUCUAUUGGUUUUUUUGCUAUUCCAAAUUUUGACCUUAAUGUACUUUUUUGGUCCUUUUCGUGAUAUUUGCUAUAUUACAGGGCAAAAAUUAUAUGAUCGGACAUUGUUUUCGAAUAUUUUGCAUGUAUCAAAGCUCUUAUAAACAAGAUAUGGUAUUCCUACAUGGCUGGUGUGACCCACGACAAAUGGAUCAUAAAGUCUUAAAAAAAAAGAUAGAUACGAUUGCAUUGCAUGUAGUAAACGGAUGCGAUCAUACCAGCACUAAUGCACCGGAUCCCAUCAAAACUACGCAGUUAAGCGUGCUUGGGCGAGAGUAGUACUAGGCUGGGUGACCUCCCGGAUAGUCCUCGUGUUGCAUCCCUCUUUUCUUUUUCGGUUUUUCUCUAUUUUGUUUUGUUAAAAUUGUAUGACUCUAUAACUUUUAGACCGUGAGGCCAAACUUUGCAUGUGAUACCUUUUCGGAAAGCCCAAAGAGAGCUCUCCGAUGAAUGAGGAAGGAAAAUGGAAUUCUUCUAUUGUUUGUUUUUUCUAUUCCAAAUUUUGACCUUAAUGUACUUUUUCGGGCUUUUUCGUGAUCUUUGCCAUAUUACGGGGCGAAAUUAUAUGUUCGGACAUUGGUUUUGAAUAUUUUGUAUGUAUCAAAGCUCUUAUAAACAAGAUAUGGUAUUCCUACAUGGCUGGCGUGACCCACAGCAAAUGGAUCAUAAAGUCUUCAAAAAAAGAAUAUAUACGAUUGCAUUGCAUGUAGUAACGGAUGCGAUCACACCAGCACUAAUGCACCAGAUCCAAUUAAAACUCCGCAGUUGAGCAUACUUGGGCGAGAGUAGUACUAGGAUGGGUGACCUCCCGGAAAGUCCUCGUGUUGCAUCCCUCUUUUCUUUUUUUUGUUAAAAAUGUACGACUUUAUAACUUUUAGACCAUGAGGCCAAACUUGGAAUGUGAUACCUUUUCGGAAAGCCCAAAGAGAGCUCUCCUAUGAAUGAGGAAAGAAAAUGGAAUUCUUCUAUUGGUUUUUUAUUCUACUCCAAAUUUUGACCUUAAUGUACUUUUUUGGUCUUUUUCGUGAUCUUUGCUAUAUGACAGGGCGAAAAUUAUAUGAUCGGACAUUGUUUUCGAAUAUGUUGCAUGUAUCAAAGCUCUUAUAAACAAGAUAGGGUAUUCCUACAUAGCUGGUGGGAGCCACGGCAAAUGGAUCUUAAAGUCUUCCAAAAAAGAAUAGAUACGAUUGCAUUGCAUGUAGUUAACGGAUGCGAUCAUACCAGCACUAAUGCAACGGAUCCCAUCAAAACUCCGCAGUUAAGCGUACUUGGGCAAGAGUAGUACUAGGAUGGGGGACCUACCAGAAAGUCCCCGUGGUGCAUCCGACUUUUUCUUUCGGUUUUUCUCUAUUUUGUUUUGCUAAAAAUGUAUGAUUCUAUAACGUUUAGACCGUCAGGCCAAACUUGGCAUGUGAUACCUUUUCGGAAGCCCAAAGAGAGCUCUCCGAUGAAUGAGGAAGCAAAAUGGAAUUCUUCUAUUGUUUUUUUUUUCUAUUCCAAAUUUUGAGCUUAAUGUACUUUUUCGGGCCUUUUCGUGAUCUUUGCUAUAUUACGGGGCGAAAAUUAUAUGUUUGGACAUUGUUUUCGAAUAUUUUGCAUGUAUCAAAGCUCAGAUAAACAAGAUAGGGUAUUCCUACAUACCUGGUGGGACCCACGGCAAAUGGAUAGUAAAAUCUUCAAAAAAGAAUAGAUACUAUUGCAUUGCAUGUAGUAAUGGAUGCGAUCAUAUCAGCACUAACGCACCGGAUCCCAUCAAAACUCCACAGUUAAGCGUGUUUGGGCGAGAGUAGUACUAGGAUGGGGGACCUACCAAAAAGUCCUCGUGGUGCAUCCCACUUUUUCUUUCGGUUUUUCUCUAUUUUGUUUUGUUAAAAAUGUAUGACUCUAUAACGUUUAGACCGUCAGGCCAAACUUGGCAUGUGAUACCUUUUCGGAAAGCCCAAAGAGAGCUCUCCGAUGAAUGAGGAAGCAAAAUGAAAUUCUUCUAUUGUUUUUUUUUCUAUUCCAAAUUUUGACCUUAAUGUAGUUUUUCGGGCCUUUUCGUGAUCUUUGCUAUGUUCGGACAUUGUUUUCGAAUAUUUUUCAUGUAUCAAAGCUCUUAUAAACAAGAUAUCGUAUUCCUACAUGGCUGGUGUGACCCACGACAAAUGGAUCAUAAAGUUUUCAAAAAAGAAUAGAUACGAUUGCAUUGCAUGUAGUAAACGGAUGCGAUCAUACCAGCACUAAUGCACCGGAUCCCAUCAAAACUCUACACUUAAGCGUGCUUGGGAGAGAGUAGUACUAGGAUGGGUGACCUCCAAGAAAGUCCUCGUGUUGCAUCCCUCUUUUCUUUUUUCGGUUUUUCUCUAUGUUUUUUUGUUAAAAUUGUAUGACUCUUUAACUUUUAGACCGUGAGGCCAAACUUCGCAUGUGAUACCUUUUCAGAAAGCCCAAAGAGAGCUCUCCGGUGAAUGAGGAAGGAAAAUUGAAUUUUUCUAUUGGUUUUUUUUUCUACUCCAAAUUUUGACGUUAAUGUACUUUUUGGGGCCUUUUCGUGAUCUUUGCUAUAUUACGGAGCGAAAAUUAUAUGUUUGGACAUUGUUUUCGAAUAUUUUGCAUGUAUCAAAGCUCUGAUAAACAAGAUAGGGUAUUCCUACAUAGCUGGUGGGACCCACGGCAAAUGGAUCGUAAAGUCUUCGAAAAAGAAUAGAUACGAUUGCAUUGCAUGUAGUAACGGAUGCGAUCAUACCAGCACUAACGCACCGGAUCCCAUCAAAACUGUGCAGUUAAGCGUGUUUGGGCGAGACUAGUACUAGGAUGGGUGACCUCACGGAAAGUCCUCGUGUUGGAUCCCUCUUUUCUUUUUUCGAUUUUUGUCCUCUUUUUUUUGUUAAGAAUGUAUGACUCUAUUACUUUUAGACAGUGAGGCCAAACUUCGCAUGUGAUACCUUUUCGGAAAGCCCAAAAAGAGCUCUCUGAUGAAUGAGGAAGGAAAAUUGAAUUCUUCUAUUCUUUUUUUUUCUACUCCAAAUUUUGACGUUAAGGUACUUUUUAAGGCCUUUUCGUGAUCUUUGCUAUAUUACGGAGCGAAAAUUAUAUGUUUGGACAUUGUUUUCGAAUAUUUUGCAUGUAUCAAAGCUCUCAUAAACAAGAUAGGGUAUUCCUACAUAGCUGGUGGGACCCACGACAAAUGGAUAGUAAAGUCUUCAUAAAAGAAUAGAUACUAUUGCAUUGCAUGUAGUAACGGAUGCGAUCAUAUCAGCACUAACGCACCGGAUCUCAUCAAAACUCCGCAGUUAAGCGUGUUUGGGCGAGAGUAGUACUAGGAUGGGUGACCUCCCGGAAAGUCCUCCUGUUGCAUCCCUCUUUUCUUUUUUCGGUGUUUCUCUAUUUUUUUUUGUUAGAAAUGUAUGACUCUAUAAGGUUUAGACAGUGACGCCAAACUUCGCAUGUGAUACCUUUUCAGAAAGCCCAAAGAGAGCUCUCCGAUGAAUGAGGAAGGAAAAUUGAAUUUUUCUAUUGGUUUUUUUUCUACUCCAAAUUUUGACGUUAAUGUACUUUUUUGGGCCUUUUCGUGAUCUUUACUAUAUUACGGAGCGAAAAUUAUAUGUUCGGACAUUGUUUUCGAAUAUUUUGCAUGUAUCAAAGGUCUUAUAAACAAGAUAGGAUAUUCCUACAUAGUUGGUGGGACCCAUGGCAAAUGGAUCGUAAAGUCUUCAAAAAAGAAUAGAUACGAUUGCAUUGCAUGUAGUAACGGAUGCGAUCAUACCAGCACUAAUGCACCUGAUCCCAUCAAAACUCCGUAGUUAAGCGUGCUUGGGGCGACAGUAGUACUAGGAUGGGUGACCUCCCGGAAAGUCCUCGUGUUGCAUCCCUCUUUUCUUUUUUCGGUUUUUCUUUUUCUUUUUUUGUUAAAAAUGUAUGACUCUAUAACUUUUAGACAGUGAGGCAAAACUUCGCAUGUGAUACCAUUUUGGAAAGCCCAAAGAGAGCUCUCCGAUGAAUGAGGAAGGAAAACUGAAUUCUUCUAUUGUUUUUUUUUCCAACUCCAAAUUUUGACGUUAAUGUACUUUUUUGGGCCUUUUCGUGAUCUUUGCUAUAUUGCGGAGCAAAAGUUAUAUAUUCGGACAUUGUUUUCGAAUAAUUUGCAUGUAUCAAAGCUCUUAUAAACAAGAUAGGGUAUUCCUACAUAGCUGGUGGGACCCACGGCAAAUGGAUCGUAAAGUCUUCAAAAAAGAAUAGAUACGAUUGCAUUGCAUGUAGUAACAGAUGCGAUCAUACCAGCACUAACGCACCAGAUCCCAUCAAAACUGUGCAGUUAAGCGUGCUUGGACGAGAGUAGUACUAGGAUGGGUGACCUCCCGGAAAGUCCUCGUGUUGGAUCCCUCUUUUCUUUUUUCGGUUUUUGUCCUCUUUUUUUUGUUAAGAAUGUAUGACUCUAUUACUUUUAGACAGUGAGGCCAAACUUCGGAUGUGAUACCUUUUCGGAAAGCCCAAAAAGAGCUCUCUGAUGAAUAAGGAAGGAAAAUGGAAUUCUUCUAUUGGUUUUUUUUUCUACUCCAAAUUUUGACGUUAAUGUACUUUUUUGGGCCUUUUCGUGAUCUUUGCUAUAUACGGAGCGAAAAUUAUAUGUUCGGACAGUGUUUUCGAAUAUUUUGCAUGUAUCAAAGCUCUUAUAAACAAGAUAGGGUAUUCCUACAUAGCUGGUGGGACCCAUGGCAAAUGGAUCGUAAAGUCUUCAAAAAAGAAUAGAUACGAUUGCAUUGCAUGUAGUAGCGGAUGCGAUCAUACCAGCACUAACGCACCGGAUCCCAUCAAAACUGUGCAGUUAAGCGUGUUUGGGCGAGAGUAGUACUAGGAUGGGUGACCUCCCGGAAAGUCCUCGUGUUGGAUCCCUCUUUUCUUUUUUCGGUUUUUGUCCUCUUUUUUUUGUUAAGAAUGUAUGACUCUAUUACUUUUAGACAGUGAGGCCAAACUUCGGAUGUGAUACCUUUUCGGAAAGCCCAAAAAGAGCUCUCUGAUGAAUAAGGAAGGAAAAUGGAAUUCUUCUAUUGGUUUUUUUUUCUACUCCAAAUUUUGACGUUAAUGUACUUUUUUGGGCCUUUUCGUGAUCUUUGCUAUAUACGGAGCGAAAAUUAUAUGUUCGGACAGUGUUUUCGAAUAUUUUGCAUGUAUCAAAGCUCUUAUAAACAAGAUAGGGUAUUCCUACAUAGCUGGUGGGACCCAYGGCAAAUGGAUCGUAAAGUCUUCAAAAAAGAAUAGAUACGAUUGCAUUGCAUGUAGUARCRGAUGCGAUCAUACCAGCACUAACGCACCRGAUCCCAUCAAAACUGUGCAGUUAAGCGUGUUUGGGCGAGAGUAGUACUAGGAUGGGUGACCUCCCGGAAAGUCCUCGUGUUGGAUCCCUCUUUUCUUUUUUCGGUUUUUGUCCUCUUUUUUUUGUUAAGAAUGUAUGACUCUAUUACUUUUAGACAGUGAGGCCAAACUUCGGAUGUGAUACCUUUUCGGAAAGCCCAAAAAGAGCUCUCUGAUGAAUAAGGAAGGAAAAUGGAAUUCUUCUAUUGGUUUUUUUUUCUACUCCAAAUUUUGACGUUAAUGUACUUUUUUGGGCCUUUUCGUGAUCUUUGCUAUAUACGGAGCGAAAAUUAUAUGUUCGGACAGUGUUUUCGAAUAUUUUGCAUGUAUCAAAGCUCUUAUAAACAAGAUAGGGUAUUCCUACAUAGCUGGUGGGACCCAUGGCAAAUGGAUCGUAAAGUCUUCAAAAAAGAAUAGAUACGAUUGCAUUGCAUGUAGUAGCGGAUGCGAUCAUACCAGCACUAAUGCACCGGAUCCCAUUAAAACUCCGCAGUUAAGCGUGCUUGGGCGAUAAUAGUACUAGGAUGGGUGACCUCCCGGAAAGUCCUCGUGUUGAAUCCCUCUUUUCUUUUUCGGUUUUUCUCUUCUUUUUUUUGUUAAAAAUGUAUGACUCCAUAACUUUUAGAUAGUGAGGCAAAACUUCGCAUGUGAUACCAUUUCGGAAAUCCUAAAGAGAGCUCUCCGAUGAAUGAGGAAGGAAAAUGUAAUUCUUCUAUUGGGUUUUUAUUCUACUCCUAAUUUUGACCUUAAUGUACUUUUUCGGGCCUUUUCGUGAUAUUUGCUAUAUUACAGGGCGAAAAUUAUAUGAUCGGACAUUGUUUUCGAAUAUUUUGCAUGUAUCAAAGCUCUUAUAAACAAGAUAUGGUAUUCCUACAUGGCUGGUAUGACCCACAGCAAAUGGAUCUUAAUUCUAGACUUUUUGUAAUCCCGAUUUCUCUUUAUCUAUUCAGUAUUCAGUAUUCAGCUUUUGUUCUUGAUUUCGUUUACUGUUGUUCAUUCUGUUAUCAUCAUGUUGUUACACUGUUGUUAUCAUGUCUUCCACCUGUUCAACGUUUAUGCUUUCUGUUAUGAUGUCUGAGUAGUGAAUAGGUUUUUGAGGAUGGCUUAGAGUAGUGUAGGAUUCUCAGUAUGCUAGGUGAUUGAGUAUUGAUUGAUAGAUCCCUUCUGGAUUAGUUGUUCUUAAUGCCUAUUGCUUUCUGAUCAACUGGAAUUUGAGCCCAGACAUUUCCGUGCCCAAAAGGUGUUCGAUGAAAUGUUUGAACCACUAAUUCCAGAGAUUCGUGACCCUGUACCAAGGUAUUGGUUGCAAGGAGCGUUUUGGCUUUAACUUGUUGAUUCGUAAUGCCUGUUAGGUUAGCUCUCGUCAAUGGUGAUUGAGUCUGGGACUAGGUUAACUUGAGGGUCUCAGUUGCGGUGGCACUUAGAUUUGGUUAAUGAACUUGUUAUCUAAGGUUAAUUUACUGAGCAUGUCAAUCACCUGUAAACUGAGAAAACGAAACUACUCAAUUACCCCAUCCUCAGGAAUUCUUUAUCUGAUUGAAUUCUUUGUUUACUCUACUGUUGUUUACUGCAUCUUGUUAUCUGUUGCUUAAUUUCUUCAGUUCUUUCUUGUUACUCGACCUCAUACUCGACCACCUAGUUGUUUGGCAACAGACUGUACAGUCGAGUAUCUGUGUUUCAUUUUCUGUCUGUUACUCGACCUGUCACUUGACCUCACCCAGUGUUCUGCAAAGAGCUGUGUUGGUCGAGUGUUUUACUGUUUCUGUUUGAUUUUCUGUUUUCUGCAUGUUCACUUAGAACUGCUAGAACACACCAAAACCUGUUAUUGCUUGGCUUGACUUAGUGACUUCUGAUCACAUCUUGAUUGUUAGCAUCACACCCAUUUGGAUUGACAACCUAAAAUACUACAACGAUAUGAUUGGUGUUUUAGGAUAAUUGACUAAAAAACCUAUUAUCAAUUUGGCGCCGUUGCCAAUUGGGUGUUUGUUUGUUACAUUUGAGAUUUCAGACUUGCUUAGAUCAAGUUCUUUUUCAAUUUUCUUUUCGGUUACUAACUGUGUGUUUUUCUUGUUGUCUUCUUGAUCCAGGUACACCUCUGCUGUAUGCGAAUUCGAUCAACAGGCAAUCAGAACCUCCUUUUCGACGACAACAUCAACCGCAUAGCUCGCGAACUCAGAAAAAGGAGAACCACAGUCACCCCUGUAUCUCAGCAACCACUCGAAAUGGCUGAAGAACAGAAUCAACAAAAUGGCCCUGCCAACAUUGGUGCUGGAGAUGCACCACGUGAUCACCGCCAGAGGAAAGGAAUUGCACCUCCUGCGAUCCAGAACAACAACUUCGAGAUUAAGAGUGGUCUCAUCUCGAUGAUUCAGGGGAACAAAUUCCAUGGUCUGCCAAUGGAGGAUCCACUCGACCACCUUGAUGAAUUCGAUAGGCUCUGCAACCUAACAAAGAUCAAUGGUGUCAGUGAAGACGGAUUCAAGCUCCGUUUGUUCCCAUUCUCCUUGGGCGACAAAGCACACAUCUGGGAGAAGAAUCUGCCCCAUGACUCAAUCACCACCUAGGAUGAUUGCAAGAAGGCUUUUCUAUCAAAGUUCUUCUCCAAUGCCAGAACUGCAAGACUCAGAAAUGAGAUUUCUGGUUUCUCACAGAAGACUGGUGAAAGCUUCUGUGAAGCAUGGGAGCGUUUCAAGGGGUACACCAACCAAUGCCCUCAUCAUGGCUUUACUAAAGCCUCUCUGCUCAGCACUCUUUACAGAGGAGUCCUACCACGCAUCAGAAUGCUUCUGGAUACAGCUAGCAAUGGGAAUUUCCAGAACAAGGAUGUUGAAGAAGGCUGGGAAUUGGUUGAGAACCUCGCUCAAUCAGAUGGCAAUUACAACGUGGACUGUGAUACGUCAGAGGAACAGCUGAUUCUGAUGACAAACACAGGAAGGAGAUCAAAGCGCUGAAUGACAAGCUGGACAUGAUUCUUCUUAGCCAGCAGAAGCAUGUGCACUUCCUUGUUGAUGACGAGCAAUUUCAAGUCCAAGAUGGGGAGGGUAACCAGUUGGAAGAAGUCAGCUACAUAAAACAACCAGGGUGGCUACAAAAGAUACAACAACUAUCGCUUGAAACUCUUUCCAAGAAAACUUAAAUCCAGAUGUUCUGGCCCAUUCUGUAUCACUGAGGUCCGUCCUUAUGGAGCAGUCACUCUAGCUGGUAAGAGUAGAGAUUUUACAGUAAAUGUUCAAAGGCUCAAGAAAUACUUAGCAGACCAAAUCCUUCCAGAGGUGACAUCGGUUCAUCUCCAAGAACCUCUUGAUGAUUAAAGGAGUAAAGGAGUCAAGCUAAUGACUUUAAACAAGCUCACUUGGGAGGAAGUCCCAUGAUUAUCUCUGUAAAUAAAAAAUUUCUUGUCUUGUUAUUUUUGAUUUGUUUUAAUUGUGUUUGUGGUUUUCAGAGAAAAGGGAACAACGUGGAGAUAGAGUAAAAAUUCAAAACUUUUACUCUACAGAAGACCUGGAGAUUGAGUGUAUAACCUGGUGGAGUACAAAAUUUAUAAAGUUUUCUGCUGCGUCUGGAGACACGGAAUUCGAGUACAUCAGUCGAGUAUACGUGAUGUUUAAAAUCCAAAAUUUUAAAAAAACAUCAUUGUACUCGACCAACAGGAGCUACAGAGACUUGCAAGGAUUUCUUGCAGUUUACAGUAGAUCUUCUGCAUAUUUUUUCAGUCAACAGAGUGUGGACCACGCGCUGAGGAUAAGCUGGAGAGAGAAUCUAAAACUCAACCUAGACCACUCAUUUAAAAACAUCACUCGACUUCACAAAAUCCACUCGACCUACCUCUUUUCAUUUCACCACCGACACUCUAAUCUCUCUACACCACGAAUCGCCGUCCAAAGAGAUACUCGAUCCUGACAAUAUCACUCGGCCUCCGAGAGUUACUCGACAUCCGCGCCGCCGUCACCAGAUCAUAUCUUCCGUCACUCGACCUCCGGGAACCACUCGACCUCUGCGCUUCCGUAAUCGAGUACUCCUCCUCGUUCACCGUCGAAGUCUCCGUGACCACUUGAUUACGACCAAGCUACUAGACCACAAACUAUCACUCGACCUCGAGUAUUCACUCGACCUCUGCAGCAGCAACUCGACCUCUUGUUCUUGAAAGCAACAGAGCCCUGAAGAACUGUCAGAGUGUUUACUCGACCUCUAGGCUUCACCGGCUGAACUCAACCUCCACAACUUACUCGAUCUCCUGAAGCAUACCCACUCGAAUCCGGAGACGAUACUCGAUCCAAAUCGUCUAAAGGGAACUCAAGAACAGCUCAGUCUACUCGAGUACAGAAUUGUACUCGACCAAUAGGGUUUAUUUCAUUGCCUAUUGAUAACAAUUUUGGUUUCAUUGCUAUCUUUGAGACUAACCUAUUGACUUUGAGCUUUGAGUUCUAAAUUUUUACAGGAGAAUCAUGAGCAAUUACAGUGGCAGUUCUUCUGUUGAUCCUGACUACAACAUGGAUGAGACAGAGUCAACAUCUUCAAGGCCAGAGAGAGAACAAAGAGAAUAUGAAAGCUUCAGAAGGAAAGCUGAGAUAGCCCGAGGGAAGAGAGCGAUCACUGAGAGGUAUGAGCUUAUAGACGAAGAUCAGGAAGACGAGUACAUGCCUGAACAGACUCGUAGAGCUACCAAACUUCUGCACAAGCCCGACGUAUUGCCUGCUGAGGAAUAUGUUAGGCUUUUCAAGCUGAACGAGUUCUGUAGCACGAGGUAUCCUUACUCGACCUCACUUGCACAACUCGGAUUGUUGGAAGAUGUUCAACACCUGUACCAGAGUUGUCAUCUGGACACUCUGAUGGCUUAUCCGUAUGUAGCGUAUGAAGAUGAGACAAUACAAUUUCUUUCCACGCUGCAAGUAGAGCUCUACCAAGGUAUGACCUCUGAUGAGUUGGAUUGUGAAGGAUUGGGAUUCUUGCAAUUUUCUGUGUAUGGCCAUGAGUAUAGGUUAUCAAUCAAGCGCUUGGAAGGAUUGUUUGGCUUCCCCAGUGGAACGGGAUCUAAGCCCAAGUAUGACAGAGAAGAGUUGAAAGACUUGUGGAUCACCAUUUGCAGCUCUGUACCGCUGAAUGCUUCUAGGUCAAAGAGCAAUCAGAUACGCAGCCCUGUCAUCAGGUACUUCCAGCGUUCUAUAGCCAAUGUACUCUACUCCCGAGAGAUCACAGGGACUGUUACUAACUCUGAUAUGGAGAUGAUCGCAAUGGCCCUCAAGGGAACUCUUCGCCAAACGAAGAAUGGUAUGUCUCUCCAAGGUGAAAUCAAUGACACACCUCUCUCUGUACUUCUUCUGAUCCAUCUGUGUGGAUACAAGAGUUGGGCUGUCAGCAAUAACCGCAAGAGAGCACGAGGCGCUCUGUGCAUAGGUGGUGUUGUGACACCGAUUCUGAUAGCUUGUGGAGUCCCAAUCAUAUCUGCCGGACUCGAGCCGCGAGCAAUGGAUAUCGAGCACCUACGUCACUGCGAAUUCCUAGAGUUUGCAAUGGUUGACGACUUCCACAGGUUCAGGUUUGAGCACUCUACAGACAGGAGAGCUAACAUCCUUCUCCCUAGCCCUGAGGUUACACGGAUAAUAGAGGGAGAUAAUAUUGAUUUUUGGCCUGAGGUUGGACGCCUCUACUAUGAGAACGCUCCGCCAUUCAAUGAGGAGGAUCUUCUAGAAGAAGCUGUUUCGGAUGGGAUGGAUGACGAUUGCGCAGUGGAGUUCGACACUAGCAUGUAUCACUUUGGUGAAGAUGUACCUCCAGCGAGGCAGAGCAAGAGCUUGACCGAAGCUCAUAAGAACAAAAGUAAAUUGCAGAAGUGGUGCAAGAAGCAGGACAAGUUGCUCGCCAAGUGUUUCAAGGCUAUCAAGCUUCUGACAGAUAAGCUGAGUUGUUCCUCCUCCACCACAGCUAUUCCACAGGUAUUGCCUCCUCUGGAGAUGCCAUCGAGGAGAUUUGAUAAGCCUGCGCACAAGCCUGAGCUUAGCGAGCAGAGAGUCUCUCAUGCCCCGGUUAGGCAUUUGUCAUUCGAGUCCCGGGAGCACAAGAGAAGAAGGAAGGCUACACUCACUUGAUCUAGGAGCAGAUCACACCUCAUUCACUCGAGGAGAUCACUUGACCGCGGUGCCGGCCGUAGCAGAAGGAGAGAGGUCGAGUAUCCUCAGAGCGGUGCUGGCCGCCACAGAGCUAAUGAGGUCGAGUACCCACCUGCUGGAGCUGAUACAGAACAAGGUGGUUCGUCUAUGGCCUGGGAGCAAUCACAGGCAGCCAUUGACGAGCAACUACGUUCAUUCUUCGAUUGAGGUACGCGCCUCACUUCACCAUUGUAUUAUAUCAUCUGUUGUGAUUUGUUUCUUCAUUUCGUUUCUGUGAUUGGAUUUGUCCUGAGUACUCUCUUCCAAGUUUAUUCGCAUAGUGGACUGUGUGAUUUAAGUUUGGGGGAGGGCUCAGGAAGUGUGUGUUAUAUUUUUGAGUCUGCAUUCAUCUAAGGGAUAGAAAAACCAAAAAAAAUUGAAAAAUUUUAGAAAAUGAUUUGACAAAAAAAGAGUGUUCAUGUAGUUGCAUUACAUUUAGGAUCGAGUCUAGAGUGUUUCAUUUAGGAUUGUUGCAUAUGCAUAGGGGAUGAUGAUGAGAUAGCCUUGUAAGCAUUUUGAUUCACAGGAUAAACUCAGUGCCCUCGUUGCUAGUUGUCUGUUGCGUAGUCAAUGAAUUUGAAAUAAAACUGAACCAUGCCUAGAUUGCUCUAUUCGACCACACUAUCAUGAUCUGAUACCAUUCCCUAUCAAUUUGAACCUGAAUCUGAUCUUUAAUUAUCAUGUCUGCAUCAAAUUUGAACUCAUGGAUACCCUAAAAUACUUGGAUUUUCUUAUUCAUUUUGAUCACUCUUGUUAAUCCAAGUAGCUGACUCUCCUUAUUAGAGCAGUUAACCCAAACCCAAACCUAGACUUUCUUUCAAGCCCUAUAUCACUUGUGAGUGUUUGUGAGGUCUUAUUCCGAUUAAGCUUGGUAGAAAGUGUUAGGUUCGUAACGACAGAGAUAGUGUCUCAUGUAGUUCUAGUUCGCAUUUUUUGGACUAGAUAGGACUAGGUGGGCGCUUAUACUUUGGGUUGGGAUGUGUUUAAAAGAAAAAAAAAAGGUUGAUUUAUUGAUAAGAAAAGGUAAAAGACUCUAGGUGAAGUAAGCUAAAGAAGCAGAAAAAGUCUACUAAAGGUUUUGGGAUUUGUAAAGAAAAGAAAGAGUUCUUGUUAGCUAUUGAAGAUGGGCAAAAGCCCUUGGUUUUAAAAUGUUAAAAACAGGAACCUUAGUUGUUAAAGAAAUCCAAAUCCGCUAGAUGUAUCAAAGUGUUGAGAAAGCUUCUCCUAGAGUUAAGAGAAAAGAAAAGAAUGAUUAGAAAAAGGGCUUAAAAGAUUCAUGAAUGCAAAGGGUAGAGUUUAGUUCUUGUAUUGGGAUUGGAGAUGGGAUUACCAUUAGAGCUUCAUUUGAUGUACUCUGGGUAGAUGGGAUCUUAUCUCUGUAUGCAUAGCUUGGGACUUACCUUUAGCAUUCUACUAAAGCUUAAUCAUUUUUUGAGAGAUCCCCUGUUAUUGAAGCCUAUUCUGUAAGGGACCAUCUUUGUCUCUUGACCUUUUACCUUAGCCAAAUGAGUUCUUUGAUGAUGCAUUGCUUGAUUCACGUUCCAGAACUAAUGAAUGUUAAAGGGAUUGGUAGAUUUGAAAACUUGUGUAGGUCGAGCAUAUGAGUCGGAUUGAUUGAUUGAUGAGGCAUAACUAACUUUUUUAAGUAGAAUUCGAUCUUGCAGCUUAGAACUUUCAACUUGGACAUUGAUUUCAUCUGGUCUAUCUGGUGCUUUGGCUCUGAGUCCCCGCUUUCAAACCUCACCUCCAGCUUGUUCUUGAUUGUUUGCUUGAGGCAAGCAAAGACUAAGUUUGGGGGAGUUGAUAAGUUUGUAUUUUGCAUGUUUUGAGCAUCCAUUUGUCAUCAUUUUAGCAUCAUAUCAUCACUGUUUUAUACCAUUUCACAUCAUUUGUCAUCACUUUGCAUGUUUAGGAUAGUUUUGCAUGCAUGUUGCAUAUUUGUGUUGUUUUCAGGUGAUUUGGAGCUGUCGACGAUCUAACUGGAAGAAGCGGACCUGAUCAUGACAAACCACUCGACCAAGAGGUCGAGUAGGAGCUUCAAGAUCUCAAGAGACCACUCGACCCCCAGGUCGAGUAGAAGACACCACCACUCUAUCACAUCACUCGACCCCCAGGUCGAGUGUCUUCAUCUCCAUCUCUUGACCACCACUCGAUCACAUCACUCGACCCCCAGAUGUAGUGACUUCAUCCCAUUGCUAGACCUCUACUCGACCUCAUCACUCUACAUGGAAGUCGAGUAUCACCAUCACACCACUCGAUUGCAUACUCGAUGACAAGCUUCAGAGCCUUCUUCAUUCCGCACUCAACCAGACACUCGAGCACAAGAAAGAAAAGAAGACUCCAGCUAUUCACUCGACCUCCCACUCGACCACAUGGGUCGAGUACAGUUCUUAAUCCGUCCCAAUACUUUGUCGUUUUGAGUAUUAGGGUUUCGGAAUAUUUGGCUAUAAGUAGCAUGUACUUCUCAUUUUCGCAGACAAGAAAUUUUUAUCUAGUUUUAUUCUGCAGACCUUGUGUUCUAGACUUUUUGUAAUCCGGAUUUCUCUUUAUCUAUUCAGUGUUCAGUAUUCAGCUUUUGUUCUUGAUUUCGUUUACUGUUGUUCAUUCUGUUAUCAUCCUACUGUUACACUGUUGUUGUCAUGUCUUCAACCUGUUCAACGUUUCUGCUUUCUAUUAUGAUGUCUGAGUAGUGAAUAGGUUUCUGAGGAUGGGUUAGAGUAGUGUAGAAUUCUCAGUAUGCUAGGUGAUUGAGUAUUGGUUGAUAGAUCCCUUCUGGAUUAGUUGUUCUUAAUGCCUAUUGCUUUCUGAUCAACUAGAAUUUGAGCCCAGACAUUUCCGCGCCCAAAAGGUGUUCGAUGAAAUGUCUGAACCACUAAUUCAAGAGAUUCGUGACCCAGUACCAAGGUAUUGGUUGCAGGGAGCGUUUUGGCUUUAACUUGUUGAUUCGUAAUGCCUGUUAGGUUAGCUCUCGUCAAUGGUGAUUGAAUCUGGAACUAGGUUAACUUGAGGGUCUCUGUUGCGGUGGCACUUAGAUUUGGUUAAUGAACUUGUUGUCUAGGGUUAAUUUACUGAGCAUGUCAAUCACCUGUAAACUGAGAAAACGAAACUACUCAAUUUCCCCAUCCUCGGGAAUUCUUUAUCUGAUUGAAUUCUUUGUUUACUAUAUUGUUGUUUACUGCAUCUUGUUAUCUGUUGCUUAAUUUCUGCAGUUCUUUCUUGUUACUCGACCUCAUACUCGACCACCUAGUUGUAUGGCAACAGACUGUGCAGUCGAGUAUCUGUGUUUCAUUUUUUGUCUGUUACUCGACCUCACCCAGUGCUCUGCAAAGAGCUGUGUUGGUCGAGUGUUUUUUACUGUUUCUGUUUCAUUUUCUGUUUUCUGCAUAUUCACUUAGGACUGCUAGAACACACCAAAACCUGUUAUUGCUUGGCUUGACUUAGUGACUUCUGAUCACAUCUUGAUUGUUAGCAUCACACCCAUUUGGAUUGACAACCUUCAGUACUACAACGAUAUGAUUGGUGUUUUAGGAUAAUUGACUAAAAAAACUAUUAUCAAUGCCCUUUGUGCUGACUAAUGCACCAGCCACCUUCCAAUCAGUGAUGAAUGAGCUGUUUAGACCAUAUAUGCGCCGGUUUGUUUUAGUGUUCUUUGACGACAUUCUGGUAUACAAUCUUGAUGUAGAGACACAUCUCAAACACUUAGAGGUUUUUCUUCAGAUUCGGUUACAGAACAGGUUCUACGCCAAUGAGAAGAAAUGCCACUUUGGUUGCACAAGGAUAUCAUAUUUGGGCCAUAUGAUCACUAGCGAAGGAGAUUCUACAGAUCCCACAAAGAUAGAAGCUAUGGUAAAGUGGCCACAGCCCAAGAAUAUAACAGAGCUGCGCGGGUUUUUAGGCCUUACUGGUUACUACAGAAGGUUUGUGGCAGGUUAUGGGAAGAUAGCAAAGCCACUGACAGAAUUACUCAAGAAAGGGAAAUUUGAAUGGUCUGUUGAAGGUACAAGUACUUUUGAGGCUUUAAAAGAGGCGGUUAUCUGUCUUCCAACGUUAGCAUUACCAGAUUUUGAGAAGCCAUUUGUGAUAGAGACUGAUGCUUUAGGCACGGGUAUAGGAGCAGUUCUAUCUCAGGAUAAGCGUCCCAUUGCGUUCAUUAGCCAAGGAUUCUCCAGUAAAGGCAGAGUUAAAUCAAUAUAUGAGAGGAAACUUUUGGCGAUUGUUUUUGUAGUGGAUAAGUGGAAGCACUACCUCACGGGAGAAAAGUCAUUAUCAGGACUGAUUAGAGAAGCCUGAAACACUUACUCAACCAGAAGGCAGUGUCAGCCAUACAACAAAGGUGGGCUUCGAAAUUAGUUAGCCUGGACUAUGAGAUUGAGUAUAAGCAUGACUCAGAAAAUAGAGUAGCAGACGCGCUAUCUAGACGUCCAGUAACCGAGCAAAUAAUGAACAUGCUGUUUCUAGCUUCGGCGACAGUGAACAAGGAAGAACUGUAGGCACAGGUACAAAAUGAUCCCAGCCUCAAACUCAUACAGGAACAACUGCUUAGAGGAGAGGAAGGGGAGAAAGGAUACAGUCUGGUAGCUAACACCUUAUAUAAGGAUGGCAGAAUUGUUAUGCCAGAAAGCUCUCCUUUUAUCCCAAAAUUGCUGGAACAGUUUCAUACUAGUCCCAUUGGAGGACAUGAAGGAGCGUUUAAGACAUUUAAAAGGUUAUCUAGUGAAGUUUACUGGAAAGGCAUGCGCAAGGACGUGGUGGAGUUCCUCAAGGGUUGUCAAGUUUGUCAACAAAACAAGUAUUCUACAUUGUCUCCAGCCGGCCUCUUGCAACCAUUACCCAUUCCGACUAAGGUAUGGUCCAAUAUCAGCCUUGAUUUCAUUGAAGGGCUUCCAGUUUCAAGUGGAUAUGAUGCGGUACUCGUCGUGGUAGAUCGGCUCAGCAAGUAUGGUCAUUUUAUUCCCCUUAAGCAUCCUUACACAGCUAAAUCAGUAGUAGAAGUGUUUAUUAAAGAGAUUGUUAGACUUCAUGGAUUUCUAGAGAGUAUGGUUUCAGAUCGGGACAAGAUUUUUGUCAGUCACUUUUGGUCUGCUCUUUUCAAGUCCCAAGGAACACAUCUGGCUAAGAGCACAGCAUACCACCCACAGUCGGAUGGCCAAACCGAGGUCCUAAACAGAUGCUUAGAGACUUACCUUCGCUGUUUUGUUAAUGGAAAGCCAAAAUCUUGGGCUCAAUUGUUUUCCUGGGCAGAAUACUGGUCUAACACUUCGUUUCAUUCUGCCAUCAAGAUGACUCCAUUUCAGGCCUUGUACGGAAGAGAACCACCGAAACUGUUACGAUUUGGUGACAUCCCAAAAGCUAACGCGGUGGUAGAGGAGAUGCUACAAGAAAGGGACAGAGUGGUCACGAUGCUGAGAGAAAAUCUGCAGGCAGCUCAAGCCCGAAUGCAAAAAUCAGCUAACAAGCAUAGAAGGGAGCUGGAAUUCAUAGUUGGCGAUUGGGUUUAUCUAAAGUUAAGACCUUACAGGCAGGUAACCGUGGCACAGCGUCGCAAUGAGAAGCUAUCUCCCAGAUUUUUUGGUCCUUAUCAGAUUCUUCAAAAAAUAGGUGCAGUAGCCUACAAACUUCAGUUACCAAGCAGCAUCUCCAUACACCCGGUCUUCCAUAUAUCACAGCUGAAGCAUGCGCAACCAAGUUCAGCCCAAGCUCAACCUCUCCCAGCGAUUAUGACUUCUAACUUGGAGUGGGAACCUGAACCUGAAGAUGUACUAGAGAUAAGGGAAAGCAGCACGGGCGCAGAUACUGAGUUAUUGAUUAAAUGGAGAGGUCUGCCAGAGUGUGAGAAUACAUGGGAGCCAAUGAAAGUCAUCAGGCAGCAGUUCCCAGCAUUUCACCUUGAGGACAAGGUGGCUUCGUUACGGGGGAGUAAUGAUAAGGUGGAGACUAUGGAAGGAGAAGCAAGGAAAGGAGAUAGAGCAACAAGGAAGAGGAUUCAAAGAAGAUCUUUGACCCAAGUGGCUAAAGAGAGUUUAAGAAAGUGCAAGGAAACACUCUGUCGCAUCCAGAGGCUUUGAAGUGUCAAAGAAAUAAGUAUGCUAUAGUUCAUAUUAACUGUAUGUUGUUUAAGUAAGAGUCUGAGAGAGUGUGUGUAGUUUUCCAUAGGGAAACUACUAUAAAUGUUGAACUCUACUUUAGGGUUAAGGUAUCAAAGUAUUAAUCAAACUUCCUAUUAUUACUCUCCUCUAUCCUUUAUCCACUCUAUCUUCUUCUUCUUCUUCAUCCGAUUCUAUCUCUUUCUGUUCUUAAUCUUCUUGAUAGGUUCACCACUUAUCACUCGACUUCCUUGUAGAGUGGUGUGAUCGAGUGAUGGUCAAGUGUGGAGGUGAUGAUACUCGACCAGGUGGUAGAGUGAUCGAGUGAAGGUGAUGAAGGUAGUCGACCAUGUGGUAGAGUAGUGUGAUCGAGUGAUGGUCAGGUGGUGGAGGUUAUGAGACUCGACCAGGGGGUCGAGUGGUGAGGUGAAGUGGUGAAGUCCUCUACUCGACCAGGGGGUCGAGUGGUCUGUUGAGGUCGUGAAGCAUCUACUCGACCUGGGGGUCGAGUGGUUUGACAUGAUCAGGAACGCUUCUUCCAAUUAGCUCGUCAACAGCUCCAAAUCACCUGAAAACAACACAAAUAUGCAACAUGCAUGCAAAACUAUCCUAAACAUGCAAAGUGAUGACAAAUGAUAUAAAACAAUGAUGAUAUGAUGAUAAAGUGAUGACAAAUGGAUGCUCAAAACAGGCAAAAUGCACACUUAUCAACUCCCCCAAACUUAGUCUUUGCUUGCCCUCAAGCAAACAAUUAAGAACAAGUAGGAGGUGAGAGUUGAAGGCGGGGACUUUGAGCCAAAGCACCAGAUAAAUCAGAUGAAAUCAAUGUCCAAGUUGAUAGUUCUAAGCUGCGAUAUGAUUGAAUUCUACUCAAAAACGUUAGCUAUGCCUUGUUAUCAAUCAAUCCGACUCUUAUGCUCAGCCUACACAUGUUUUCAAAUCUACCAAUCCCUUUAACAUUCAUUAGUUAUGGAACGUGAAUCAAGCAAUGCAUCUAUCAAUGAACUCAUUUGGCUAAGGUAAAGGUCAAGUGACAAAGAUGGCCCCUUACAGAAUAGGCUUCAGCAAAAGGGGAUCUCUCAAAAAAUGAUUAAGCUUUAGUAGAAUGCUAAAGGUAAGUCCCAAGCUAUGCAUACAGAGAUAAGAUCCCAUCUACCAAGAGUAUAACCAAUGAAGCUCUAAUGGUAAUCCCAUCUCCAAUCCCAAUAUAAGAACUUAACUCUACCCUUUGCAUUCAUGAAUCUUUUAACCCCUUUUUCUAAUCAUUCUUUUCUUUUCUCUUAACUCUAGGAGAAGCUUUCUCAACACUCUGAUACAUCUAGCGGAUUUGUAUUUCUUUAACAACUAAGGAUCCUCUUUUCAAUUUUUAAAACCGAGGACUUUUGCCCUUCUUCAUUAGCUGACAAGAACCCUUUUCUUUUCUUUACAAAUCCCAAAACCUUUACUAGACUUUUUCUACUUCUUUAGCUUACUUCACCUAGAGCCUUUUACCUUUUCUCAUCAAUGAAUCAACUCUUUUGUUUUUUCUUUUUCUUUUAGACACAUCCCAACCCAAAGUAUAAGCACCCACCUAGUCCUAUCUAGUCCGAAAAAUGCGAACUAGAACUACAUGAGACAUUAUCUCUGUCGUUACAAACCUAACACUUUCUACCAAGCUUAAUCGAAAUAAGACCUCAGAAACACUCACAAGUGAUAUAAGGCUUGAAAGAAAGUCUAGAUUUUGGUUCGGGUUAACUGCUCUAAUAAGGAGAGUCAACUACUUGGAUUAACAAGAGUGAUCAAAAUGAAUAAGAAAAUCCAAGUAUUUUAGGGUAUCCAUGAGUUCAAAUUUGAUGCAGACAUGAUAAUUAAAGAUCAGAUUCAGGUUCAAAUUGAUAGGGAAUGGUAUCAGAUCAUGACAGUGUGGUCGAGUAGAGGAAUCUAGGCAUGGUUCGGUUUUACUUCAAUUUCAUUGACUACGCAAAAGACAACUAGCAACGAGGGCACUGAGUUUAUCCAGUGAACCAAAAUGCUUACAAGGCUAUCUCAUCAUUAUUCCCUAUGCAUAUGCAACAAUCCUAAAUGAAACACUCUAUACUCGAUCCUAAAUGUAAUGCAACUACAUGAACACUCUUUUUUUUUGUGAAAUCAUUUUCUGAAAUUUUUCAAUUUUUUUUUGGUUUUUUUAUGCCUUAGAUGAAUGCAGACUCAAGAGUAUAAACAAUGCAACACACACUUCAUGAGCACUCCCCCAAACUAAUCUUGGAAGAGAGUAACUCAGGACAAAUCCAAUCACAGAAACAAAAUAAAGAACAAAUCACAAAAGAUGAUAUAAUACAAUGGUGAAGUGAGGCGCUUACCUCAAUCAAAGAAUGAACGAAGUUGGUCGUCAAUGGCUGCCUGUGAUUGCUCCCAAGCCAUAGACGAGCCACCCUGUUCUGUAUCAGCUCCAGCAGGUGGGUACUCGACCUCAUCAGCUCUGUGGAUACUCGACCUCUCUUCCUCUGCUGCGGCCAGCACCGUGGUCGAGUGAUCUCCUCGAGUGAAUUAGGCAUGAUCUACUGCUAGAGCGAACGAGUGUAGCCUUCCUUCUUCACUUGUGCUCCCGGGACUCGAAUGACGAAUGCCUAGCAGGGACAUGUGAGACUCUCUGCUCACUAAGCUCAGGUCUGUGCUCAGGCUCAUCAAAUCUCCUCAAUGGCAUAUCUAGAGGAGGCUGUCCCUGUGGAAUAGCUGUAGUAGAAGAGGAACAGCUCAGUUAAUCUAUCAGAAACUUGAUAGUCUUAAAGCACUUGGCGAGCCGCUUGUCCUGCUUCUUGCAACACUUCUGCAGCUUAUUGUUGUUCCUAUGAGCUUCACUCAAGCUCUUGCUCUCCCUCGCCAGAGGUACAUGUUCAUCAAAAUGAUACAUGCUAGUGUCGAACUCCACUGCUCUGUCUUCAUCCAUCCCAUCCUAAGCAGCUUCUUCUAUAAGAUCAUCCUCAUCCAAUGGCGGAGCGUUCUCAUAGUAGAGGUUUCCAAGCUCAGGCCGAAAAUCAAUGUUAUCUCCCUCUAUUAUCCGUGUAACCUUAGGGCUGGGGAGAAGGAUGCUAGCUCUCUUAUCCGUAGAGUGCUUAAACCUAAAACAGUGCAUGUCGCCAACCAUUCCGAACUUCAGGACGUAGGAUGCUAACUCCAGGACUUCGCAGUGACGUAGAUGCUUGAUAUCAAUUGCCCGUGGCUCGAGUCCAUCAGAUGUGAUUGGGACUCCACAAGCAAUCAGAAUCGGUGUCACAACACCGACUAUGCAAAGAGCGCCUCGUGCUCUCUUGUGAUUAUUGCUGACAGCCCAGCUCUUGUAUCCACACAGGUGGAUUAGAAGAAGUACAGAGAAAGGUGUGUCAUUGAUUUCACAGAUAUGUUGUUCUUAGUUUGGUAGAGAGUGCCUUUGAGAGCAUAUAGCGAUCAUCUCCAUAUCAGAAUUGGUAACAGUCCCUGUGAUCUCUCUGGAGUAGAGGACAUUGGCUAUAGAACGCUGGAAGUACCUGAUGACAGGGCUGCGUAUCUGAUUGCUCUUUAACCUGGAAGAAUUUAGCGGUACAGAGCUGCCAAUGGUGAUCCAUAAGUCUUUCAACUCUUCUCUGUCAUACUUGGGCUUAGUACCCGUUCCACUGGGGAAACCAAAAAGUCCUUCCAAGCGUUUGAUUGAUAACCUAUACUCAUGACCAUACACAGAGAAUCUCAAGAAUCCCAAUCCUUCGCAAUCCAACUCAUCAGAGGUCAUACCUUGGUAAAGCUCCACUUGCCGUGUGGAGAGGAAUUGAAUUGUCUCUUCUUCAUAUGCUACAUACGGAUAAGCCAUCAGAGUGUCCACAUGACUACUCUGGUACAGGUGUUGAACAUCUUCCAACAAUCCAAGUUAUGCAAGUGUGGUCGAGCAUGGAUACCUUGUGCUACAGAACUCAUUUAGUUUGAAGAGUCUGAUAUACUCCUCAGCAGGUAAUACAUCUGGUUUGUGAAGAAGCUUUGUGGCUCUACUAGUAUGCUCAAGCAUGUACUCGUCUUCUAGAUCCUCAUCUAUAAGCUCGUACCUCUCUGUCAUUGCUCUCUUCCCUCGAGCUAUCUCAGCUUUUCUUCUGAAGCUAUCAAAUUCUAUCUUUUCUCUCUCUGGCCUUGAAGAUGACGACUAUGUCUCAUCCAUGUUGUAGUCAGGAUCAACUGAAGAAUUGCCACUGUAAUUACUCAUGAUUCUCUUGUAGAAGAUUUAGAACUCAAAACUCCAAUAUCAAUAGGAUAGUCUCAAAGAGAACAAUCAAACCAAAAUUGUUAACAACAGACAAUAUAGACCCAAACGGUCAAGUACAAUCAAAUACUCAAGUAAGCUUAACUUUUUCCAAGUUUCUCUUUCACGGGUUGAAUCGAGUGGCUCAGAUAUAAGAGGUCGAGUAAUGUUGAGGAAGUAGUGUGCAGAUGGUGAAUCAGGUUGGUCGAGUAUACCAUAGGUGAGCCAAAAUUGGCAGGGACGAAACCUCAAAUCGACGAUCGAGUACAGUGGAUGUAAUCGAGUAGCUCUUGAGACGACGACGGUAAACGAGGUGGAGACUCGACUUAGACGGGAAGUGACGGUUAACGGCGAAGUGAAGUGGUUGAGUGAUUCAAGGUGAAACGUAAUCGGUGGUCGAGUGGGACUUUGAACUCGACUGCGGCGGCUGUAAUUCUUUCCAGCUGCGGUCGAGUGGUUUCGGCGAGGUCGAGCGUGGCUUGGUUUCAGAGGUCAAGUUGAUUCUUGCGAUCGAGUGGUGGAAAACUGAAUAGAGGUUGGUCGAGUGAAAUUUCAAAAGCAGUGGUGGAGAUUGAGUUUGAGAUUCUCUCUCCAUCUUAUCCUCAGCGCGUGGUCCACACUCUGUUGAUUGGGAAAACUGCAGGAAAUCUACAGUAAACUUGAUUAACUCCCUGUAAGGCUCUGUAGCUUCUGUUGGUCGAGUAAUAUGAUGAUUUAAAAUUUUUUGGUUUUAAACAUCACUCAUACUCGACCAAUGUACUCGAGUGCAAGGUCUCCAUGUGCAACAGAAAAUUUACAAAAUUUUGCACUCCAACGGGCUAUACACUCGAUCUCCAGGUCUUUUGUAAAGUAAAAGUUUUGAAUUUUUACUCUAUCUCCACCUUGUUCCUUUGUUCCUGAGAACCACAAACACAACUAAGACAAAUCAAAAAUAACAACAAAAGAAAAAUUUAUUUACAGAGAUAGUCAUGGGACCUUCCUCCCAAGUGAGCUUGUUUAAAGUCUCUAGCUUGACUGCUCACACUUAUCAAGAAGAAAAUGAAUGAUAGAGAGGGUCUGCAUAGUCCUCUCGGAUAUCAUCAUCAUACUCAGCGUCCUCCCUGGAGAGGUCUGCAGCAGAACACUCAAUUCCCCUUUCUUCAAAACAGGCUUCUUUCUCUUCUAGAGGGUAAUCUAUCUCUUCAGACCAUCUUGAAGUGAACCUUUUUCUCGGGAUAAUGUCAAUUCCGCCUUUAGGUUGAGCUUUCUUCUGCAUCUGAUUCAGCUUACUCUUAAGCUCCUCAAUAGUGUGGGCUAGCUUCCCUAUAGUUUCAUCUUGCUUAUCAGACCUCUUUUUAAGCUCCCUUACUUUUUCAGUCUCAUACGCUUCUCUUGGGAUCACUCUAUCGUCUCCAGAGGGUUUUUCAUAUUCUUUUGACUCUUCUGGAGUUUUGUUGAUGUCAAAUUGCAACUUGAUGUGCUUUCCAAGGUUGAGACUUAUUUUUUCUUCCCUGACAUCUAUCACUGCUCCCACUGAGGCUAAGAAGGGUCUUCCCAGGAUUAAGGGAUCCUUAUGCUCUUCUUCCAUAUCCAGCACCACGAAGUUUGUAGGCACUUCCACUCCAUUAAUCAUGACUGGUAGAUCUUUCAACAUGUCGGAGGGUUUUCUUGAAGACCUAUCUGCAAGGAUCAAAGUCAGGUCACAAGGCCUGUACUAAAUAAAUUCCAACCUUCUUGCCACAGAGAGUGACAUUAAGGUGACAGAGGCUCCGAGAUCGCACAGGCAAUCGCUGAAAGCUAAUUCCCCAAUUGAACAUGGUAGAGUAGAAUAUCCAGGAUCUUCUAACUUUUCUUGAACAAUCCUCUUAUCAGCAACUCGAGAUGGAGUAGCGUCACUAUCAUCAUCUGAAUCGUGAUACAUCUUAAUCCUUUCCAGUAUCAGAUUUCUCACAUCUUUGUGAGGAUCAGGAAUCAGGUUGAGAACUUCCAUCAGUGGCAUCACUGUUUCAUUCUCGUCUAGCUGUUUCGCUGCAACAGACUUGUAUCUCUCCAUCCAUGCUUUCCUGAAUUUCAUGGAAGAGCAUGUGAGGGUAAUGGAGUAGGUUUGAAUCGUUUUACCAUUCUCUCGAUUAUGGCUGCUUUCUCUUCCGAGGUGGAUUAAAUGAGAUGGUGAGAACCAGCAGAAUGGUUGAAUUCUACAACAGAGACCUCAAUCUUGGUUGAAGGCUCCCCUUCUUGAACAUCACUGUCCCCAGUGAUUAAGUCAGGGACAGGUCGAGUUGGCUGCUCUCGAUCCUGGCAGAUAGUGAUGGCGUGAGCAGUUGCAUACUCCUUUGGAUUUUGUAUUGACUUCCCAGGAAGUCCUGUAACUUUAGGACCAGAGGUAGAUGUUGAUUGUCCUUCCAAGUAUCUGACUUUGGUAUUCAAUGUCUCCACUUUGGCAUUCAGGUCAUUGUAGCUAUAGUCCAGCUUAUGGUGCAAUUCAAAUAACUUCUUAGCAAUUUUCAUGGAGCUAGAUGCUUGUCCCUGUAGCAGCUGUUGUACCAUCUGUUUCAUUUCGGGAUCAGGAGCUGCAAGACCUUGGUUUUGCUGAGGUGCAAACCCAGGUGGUGGUUGCGGCUGGUAGUUCCCCUGAAAUUGUUGGGAACAAAUCCUUGAUUGUAAGGAACAAAAGGUUUGUUCUGACCUUGUUGUUGAUGUGGAGGAUACACCUGAUCCUGAGGAUUCGCAACGUUGGUGCUCCGGUAGGAGAGGUUGGGGUUGUUGGUUUUGAAGUUGUUAUACCCUUUGUAGCCACCCUGGUUGUUGUUGAUGUAGCUGACCUCUUCCAACUGGUUACCCUCCCCAUCUUGGACUUGAUACUGCUCGUCAUCAACAAGGAAGUGCACAUGCUUCUACUGGCUAAGAAGAAUCCUUUCCAGCUUGUCGUUCAGCGCUUUGAUCUCCUUCUUGUGUUUGUCAUCAGAGUCAGCUGUGCUUCUGAUGGUCCUAUCGUAGUCCUCAUUGUAAUUACCAUCUAAUUGAGCUAGGUUCUCAACCAAUUCCCAGCCUUCUUCAACAUCCUUGUUCUGGAAAUUCCCAUUGUUGGCGGUAUCCAGAAGCAUUCUGAUGCGUGGUAAAACGCCUAUCUAUGGAGUGCUUAGCAGAGAGGCUUUCGUGAAGCAAUGAUGAGGGCAUUGGUUGAUGUAACCUCUGAAACGCUCCCAUGCUUCAUAGAAGCUUUCACCCGUCUUCUGUGAAAAAUCAGAAAUCUUAUUUCUGAGUUUUGCAGUUCUGGCGUUGGAGAAGAACUUUGAUAGAAAGUCCUGUGGAGUAAACAAUAAAAUCAAUCAGAUAAAGAAUUCCCGAGGAUGGGGUAAUUGAGUAGUUUCGUUUCCUCAGUUAACAGGUGACUGACAUGCUCAAUAAAUUAUCCCUAGACAACAAGUUCAUUAACCAAAUCUAAGUGCCACCGCAACAAAGACCCUCAAGUUAACCUAGUCCCAGACUCAAUCACCAUUGACGAGAGCUAACCUAACAGGCAUUACGAAUCAACAAGUUAAAGCCAAAACGCUCCCUACAACCAAUACCUUGGUACAGAGCCACAAAUCUCUGGAAUUAGUGGUUCAGACAUUUCAUCGAACACCUUUUGGGCGCAGAAAUGUCUGGGCUCAAAUUCUAGUUGAUUAGAAAGCAAUAGGGAUUAAGAACAACUAAUCCAGAAGGGAUCUAUCAAUCAAUACUCAACCACCUAGCAAACUGAGAAUUCUACACUACUCUAAUCCAUCCUCAGAAACCUAUUCACUACUCAGACAUCAUUAUAGAGAACAUAAACGUUGAACAGGAUGAAAACAUGAUAACAAUAAUAUAAUAGCAAAACGAUAACAGGAUGAACAACAAUAAACGAAAUCAAGAACAAAUACUGAAUACUGAGUAGAUAAAGAGAAAUCCGGAUUACAAAAGGUCUAGAACACAGUGUCUGCGGAAUAAAACUAGAUAAAAACCUCUUCUCGAAAAUGUAAAGUACAUGCUUAUUAUAGCAAAAUAUUCUGAAACUCUAAUACUCAAAAUGACGCAGUAUUGGGACGGAUUAAGAACUGUACUCGACCCUGAUGGUCGAGUGAGAGGUCGAGUGAUAUGCUGGAGUCUUCUAUUCUUCCUUGUGCUCGAGUGUCUAGUUGAGUGCAGAAAUGAAGAAGACUCUGAAGCUCGCCAUAGAGUAUGUAGUCGAGUGGUGGUGGUGAAGACACUCGACCUGGGGGUCGAGUGAUGUGAUCGAGUGACUGGUCAGGUUGUGGAGGUGAAUACACUCGACCAGGUGGUCGAGUGAGGUGAUCAAGUAUCUCUCGUGGUGGUACUCGGCCAGGGGGUCGAGUGAUGAGAUGAAAUUGUGAAGUCCCCUACUCAGCCAGGGGGUCGAGUGGUCUGUUGAGGUCUUGAAGCUUCUACUCGACCUCGGGGUCUAGUGGUUUGACAUGAUCAGGUCCGCUUCUUCCAGUUAGCUCGUCAACAGCUCCAAAUCACCUGAAAUCAACACAAAUAUGCAACAUGCAUGCAAACCUAUCCUAAACAUGCAAAGUGAUGACAAAUGAUGAGAAAUGGUAUUAUACAGUGAUGAUAUGGUGCUUAAGUGAUGACAAAUGGAUGCUCAAAACAUGCAAAAUACACACUUAUUAACUCCCUAAUAAUAUGUUUUUAGUCAAUUAUCCUUAAACACCAAUCAUGUCUUUGUAGUAUUUUAGGUGUCAAUCCAAAUGGGUGUGAUGCAAACAGAUGAGAUGUGAUCAGAAGUCACUAAGUCAAGCCAAGCAAUAACAGUAUUGGGGUUUCUUACAGUCCUAAGUGAACAUGCAGAAAACAGAAACAAUAAUAGAAUUACUAAAAUCACCCGACCACAACAGGCUGAUGCAAGAAGUAGGAUGUGAUCGAGUAAGAGGCAGGAUAUGAAACAAAUAUACUCGAUUGCACAGUCUAUUGCCAGACACUGGGUCUGGUCGAGUAUACAUGUCGAGUAACAGACAGGAAAUGAGACAGCUGUACUCGAUUGCACAGUCUGUUGCCAGACACUGGGUGUGGUCAAGUAAGUUGGUCGAGUAAUUGCAAAAACUAAGAAACAGGCAAUGAAAACGAUUAAGUGAUAACAAUAAAACGGAGAAAUCAGAUAGACGAGAAAUUCCUAAGGAUGGGGUAAUCAAGUAGAGUUGUAUCCUAGCCUAUUCGAAUGGUUAACAAGCGCAAUCAAGCUAUCCCUAGACUGAUCAAUUAACUCCCGUGAUAGAAAUCCUCAAGCAAAGCUAGCCCAGACUAAUUUCUAUUAACGGAAUCUAACUAUGCAGGCAAUAAGAACAGACUGAUAAAGUCAAUAAACGCUCUAAUCGGCCAAUCCCUUGGGAUAGAGACGAAUAUCUCAGGAACUAGUCGAUCGAACAUUCCAUCGAACACCUUCUGGGUGCGGGAAUGCUUUGCUUGAAUUCCAGUUGAUCAGAAAGAAAUAAGCAGUAAACGCAACUAGUCCUGAAGGGAUUCAAUCAAUUCUAAAAUUUAACCAUUCUACAGACUACGGAUUCCACAAAUACUCUAUCCCAUCCCUAAGAAUUCUAAGUCACUACUCAGACAACAUGCUCAAAGACAUAAACGCAGAUAAAUGAUAAUAUUGCAUAAGUAAAGAGAUAAAGAGUAGAGAAACAAGAUGACAGAUGAAAUCAAAUGCGGAAUCUGAAUAACUUGGAAAAAUCUCGAAUUACUGGUUGCAGAAGCAAAAGCGGCACAGCAGAGUAAAACAGAAAAUAAAACUGAAGCAAAAACUCAAUGUCGACUAGAUGUCUCAGGACAGAACCCUAAGACAUCUAUUUAUACAAAACGAAAUAAAAUGAUAGUAGACGGGCCAAUAACCUAAUCGCCCGGCCCAUAGAAUGAUAAUGGGCCGAGAUGGGCUUCGUGAUCCGAUGGAGGUCUAGGCCGCUUCUAAACACUUUGUCUUCUCCUCUUCUCUUCCUUGUGCUCAGCUUGUCUGGUUGAGUGCGGAUUUGAUUAGACUAUAAAGACGUGAUCGAGUGUCCGGUCGAGUGAUGGUGAUGGUGGUGAGUGAUGAUACUCGACCAGGGGGUCGAGUAACUUGGUAGAGUGAAUGGCUGAGUGUGGUCAGGUUGUGUGGCGAAGUGAUAUUCGACCAGGGGGUCGAGUGGCGUCAUCGAGUGGCCUGAGCUGAGGAUACUCGACCAGGGGGUUGAGUAGGUGGGAAGAAUAGCUCCAAAGUUACUCGACUUGGGGGUAGAGUAUAGUGCUGGAUGCACACGACCUGGUGGUCGAGUAUGUCUUCUGGUUCUGGCUCGUUUCUUCAAAUUUGCUCGCAAACAGCUCCAAAUCAUCUGAAAACAACUCAGAAAUGCAAUAUGUAUGCAAAGCUAUCCUAAUCAUGCAAAGUAUGCAAGAAUGAUGAGAAAUGAUAUAAAACAGUGAUGAAUGAUACAAAACUGGACUCAAAACGAUGAUGAAUGGACACUGAAAACAUGCAAAUUAUAGACAUAUCAACUCCCCCAAACUUAGUCUUUGCUUGCCCUCAAGCUAAUAAGAAGACAUAGUUGAAGGAGAGGUUUGAAGGCGGGGACUCAGAACCAAAGCAUAUGAUAGAGCGAAUAAAAUCAAUGUCCAAGUUGGUAGUUCUAAGAUGCGAUAUGAUUGAAUUUUACUCAAAAACGUUAGCCAUGCCUUGUUAUCAAUCAAUCCGUCUCUUAUACUCGACCUACACAUGUUUUCAAAUCUACCAAUCCCUUUAACAUUCAUUAGUUCUGGAACGUGAAUCAAGCAAUGCAUCAUCAAUGAACUCAUUUGGCUAAGGUGAAGGUCAGGAGACAAAGAUGGUCCCUCACAAAAUAGGCUUAAGUACCAAGGGAUCUCUCAAGAAUGAUUGAGCUUUAGUAGAAUGCUUAAGGUAAGUCCCAAGUUAUGCAUAUAGAGAUAAGAUCGCAUCUACCCAGAGUAUAACAAUGAAGCUCUAAUGGUAAUCCCAACUCCAGUCCCAACUUAACUCUACCCUUUGCACUCAUGAAUCUUUCAAACUUUUUUUUUUCUUUUUCAAAUCAUUCUUUUCUUUUCUCUUAACUCUAAGAGAAGCUUUCUCAACACUCUGACACAUCUAGCGGAUUUGGAUUUCUUUAACAACUAAGGUUCCUGUUUUUAAUCUUUAAAACCAAAGGCUUUUAACCCUUCUUCUUUAGCUAACAAGAACCUCAUUCUUUUCUUUAACAUUCCCAAAACCUUUACUAGAUUUUUUUUCUAACUUCUUUUAGCUUACUUCCCCUAGAAUUCUUUCCCUUUCCUUAUCAACAAUGAAUUCACCCUUUUCUUUUAAACACAUCCCAACCCGUGAUAUAAGCGCCCACCUAGUCCUAUCCAGUCCGAAAACGCGAACUAGAACUACAUGAGACACUAUCUCUGUCGUUACGAACCUAACACUUUCUACCAAGCUCAAUUGAAAUAAGACCUCACAAACACUCACAAGUGAUAUAGGGCUCGAAAGAAAGUUUAGGUUUUGGUUCGGGUUAACUGCUCUAAUAAGGAGAGUCAGCUACUUGGACUAACAAGAGUGGUUAAAAUGAGUAAGAAAAUCCAAGUAUUUUAGGGUAUCCAUGAGUUCAAAUUCGAUGCCAAGACAUGAUAAUUCUAAAUCAGAUUCAAGUUCAAAUUGAUAGGGAAUGGUAUCAGAUCCAAACAGUGUGGUCGAGUAGAGCAAUCUAGGCAUGGUGCAGUUUUACUUCAAUUUCAAUGACUACGCAUCAGACAACUAACAACGAGGGCACUGAGCUUAUCUGGUGAACCAAAAUGCUUACAAGGCUAUCUCAUCAUUAUCCCCUAUGCAUAUGCAACAAUCCUAAACGAAACACUCUAGACUCGUUCCUAAAUGCAAUGCAACUACAUGAGCACUCUAUUUUUGUGAAAUCAUUUUCUGAAAUUUUUCAAUUUUUUUGUUUUUUCCUAUGCCUUAGAUGAAUGCAGACUCAAGAUUAUAUACAAUGCAACACACAUUGCCUGAGCCCUCCCCCAAACUUAAAUCACACAGUCCACUGUGUGACCAAAUUUGGAAGAGAGUACUCAGGACAAAACACAUCACAGAAACAAAAUAAAAACAAGAGAUGGUAUAUUACAAUGGUGGAGUGAGGUGCAUACCUCAGUGGAAGAAGGAGCAGAGUUGGUCGUCAAUAGCUGCCUGUGAUUGCUCCCAGGCCAUCGAAGAAUCUCCCAGUUGUGUCUCAGCUUCCCCCUAGGGGUACUCGACCUCUGCUCCUUCGUCGCGGCCCGCACCGCUCUGAUGAUACUCGACCUCUCUUCUUCUGCUGCGGCCAGCACCGUGGUCGAGUGAUUUACUGACAUGGAGAAGUUUUGAUUGCACCACUCGCUAUACUCGAUCACAUCGUCAUUCAGUCCCUGUAGGGUGUGGUCGAGUGAUUUCAUGGGGUGGAGAAACCAGAACAAUGUCGAGUAUCCUUGAUUGCUCUUUGGUCGAGUGUAUUGCUGUUCCCUCAAAGCCAGAAUCUAUUUCCGUCAGCUCUUCAUACUUAUCGCCUGAAAACACUAACAAGAUGCAUCAAAAACAACAAGAAAAAUUAAAGAUAUGUACAAAGAUAGGCAUGGGACUUCCUCCCAAGUGAGCUUGUUUUAGGUCUCUAGCUUGACUCUUCAUACUCAUUAGGCGUUUAUAGGCUCAUCCAAAGGAACAGAAGUUCCUUCUGGAAUAAACUGAUCUAUCAUGUAUUUCUUGAGCCGUUGUCCAUUGACUGUGAAGUCUCCAUUCUUUCCAGCUAGAGUGAUAGCACCAUAAGGUCGGACUGCAGUAACAGAGAAAGGACCAGACCAUCUAGACUUGAGCUUGCCUGGAAAAAGCCUCAAGCGAGAGUUGAACAGCAACACUUGAUCACCAACCUUAAAAUCUCUUGAGACUAUCUUCUUGUCAUGGAAAGACUUGGUUCGCUCCUUGUAGAUUUUGGAACUCUCAUAAGCUUCUAAGCGAAUCUCGUUGAGAUCGUUCAGUUGGAUCAAUCGCUUCUCCUUGGCGGUUUUAAUGCCAAAGUUCAGGAGUUUAACUGCCCACAUGGCUUUAUACUCGAGUUCAACAGGCAAAUGACAGGAUUUUCCAUAGAGGAGGUUGAAAGGAGUCGUUCCAAUAGGGGUCUUGAAGGCUGUUCUGUAAGCCCAUAGUGCGUCAUCGAGCUUAGUAGACCAAUCUUUCCUUGUAAUUCCCAUUGUUUUCUCUAAAAUUGCUUUUAUCUCCCUGUUGGAGAUUUCCACCUGCCCGCUCGUCUGUGGAUGAUAAGGAGUGGCUACCUUGUGCUUUACUCCAUGCUUCUUCAAAAGGUUCUCAAAAACCUUGUUGAUAAAAUGUUUCCCUCCGUCACUGAUCACAACUCUCGGGACUCCAAAUCUAGGGAAGAUAAUUGUCUUGAACAGCUUUAGCACAACUCUAGCAUCAUUGGUGGGGCUGGCUAUGGCUUCCACCCAAUUGAUACAUAGUCUACUACGACCAGUAUGUACUUGUUCCCGUAAGAAAAAGGAAACGGACCCAUAAAAUCAAUUCCCCAAACGUCAAAGAUCUCAACUUCUAAGAUCGGAUUCUGAGGCAUCUCAUUCCUUCUGCUGAUGUUCCCUUUCCUUUGACAUGAGUCACAUUUCGAGAUAAAUUCCUGAGCAUCCUUAAACAUUGUCGUCCACCAAAAACCAGCUUGCAAGAUUUUUGACACUGUCUUGAACGUUGCAAAGUGGCAACCAUAGGCGGACCCAUGGUAGUGCAGUAGGAUGCCUUCGAUUUCGUCUUCUGAAACGCAUCUCCUGUAGAUCUUAUCCUUGCAGAGUGUGUAGAGAUAAGGUUUGUCCCACUAGAAGUGGUUAAUGUCCUUGAAGAACUUCUUCUUCUCAUAGCUCGACAAAUUCGGAGGCUCUUCACCACUAACCAAGUAGUUGACGUGAUCAGCAUACCACAAAAGCUUUUCUUCAAUUGCACAUACUUGAUCGAGUGAUUUCCGAAUUUGAGCACUCUCGUUAAGUUGCUGAAUUGCCAUUAGCUGUUCUUCUGGCAUGGAAUCGUCAAUAGGGACCUCGUCUUCAAUUCUCAUUCUAGUUAGAUGAUCAGCUACACCGUUUUAAAUUCCCUACUUAUCAAUUAUCUCCAUAUCAAACUCUUGGAGCAAUAAGAUCCAUCUCAACAGCCUAGGUUUGGUAUCCUUCUUCGCGUAUAUAUGCCUCAGAGCAGCAUGAUCAGUGUAGACUGUCACCUUAGAGCCGACUAGGUAGCUUCUAAAUUUUUCGAAUGCAAAUACCACAGCUAGCAGUUCCUUCUCUGUAGUGGCAUACCUUACCUGUGCAUCAUCCAUCGUUCUUCUCGCGUAGUAUAUCACAUGCAACGUUUUAUCAAUCCUCUGGCCCAAAACUGCUCCUACUGCAUAAUCUGAAGCAUCGCACAUGAUCUCGAAUGGGAAGUCCCAGUUUGGAGCUUGGACUAUUGGGGCCGUGACCAAAGCUUCCUUGAUUAACUUAAAGGCUGUCAAACAUUCUUCAUCAAAUGUAAACUCGGCUUCCUUGCACAGUAGUCUUGUGAGCGGUCUUGCCAACUUGGAGAAAUCCUUGAUGAAUCUUUUGUAAAACCCUGCAUGUCCAAGAAAACUCCUGAUGUCCUUGACAGUCUUUGGUGGCUAUAACUACAUCAUCACGUCAACCUUAGCCUUAUCAACCUCUAUCCCCUCCUCAGAAAUUUCGUGCCCCAAAACGAUGCCUUCUCUAACCAUGAAAUGGCAUUUCUCCGAGUUCAGCACCAGGUUUGUCUCUGCACAUCUUUUGAGUACCCUUCAUAGGUUCAACAAACACGAGGAGAAGGAAGAGCCAUACACAGAAAAAUCAUCCAUGAAUACCUCUACCAUCUCCUAUAUCAAAUCCGAGAAAAUGGAAGUCAACCACCGCUGAAAAGUAGCAGGUGCAUUACAGAGACCGAAAGGCAUACGCUUGUAAGCAAAGGUCCCAUAAGGACAAGUAAAAGUAGUUUUCUCUUGGUCAUUUGGGUGAAUAGGGAUUUGAAAAAAUCCGCUAUAGCCAUCCAACAAGCAAUAGUAAGGAUGGUUUGCUAAUCUUUCUAGCAUUUGAUCAAUGAAGGGCAAUGGGAAAUGGUCUUUUCUAGAGGCAGCAUUUAACUUCCUAUAGUCAAUACACAUCCUAUGUCGAGUUAUAGUCCUAGUGGGUAUCAGUUCAUCUUUAGCAUUUUUAACAACUGUCAUACCUCCCUUUUUAGGAACGCAGUGAACUGGAGAUACCCAAGUGCUAUCAGAGAUAGGGUAAAUAACCCCAGCAUCUAAUAGUUUAAGUAUCUCCUUUUUCACAACCUCUUUCAAGUUUGGAUUUAAUCUCCUUUGAGGUUCAAUGCUAGAGUAGGAUUCAUUUUCAAGAUGGAUUCUAUGGGUGCACAAGGUGGGUGAAAUCCCCUUAAUAUCAUCUAACGAAUAUCCUAUAGCUUUCCUAUACUUCUUGAGCUCAGUUAUCAGCAGGUUUACUUGAUCAGCAGUUAGCUCAUCAUUCACUAUGACAGGAUAAGUAGAGUUUAGUCCAAGAAAAACGUACCUUAGCCCUUUUGGUAGCGGUUUCAAAUCUACUUUGGGUGCCUUGAGUUCAGACCAGUCAUCGGAUACUAAGUUGGCUUCAGAGGAGGGGUUGUGGUCGAGUAGUUCGGUCGAGUACACUGAAUGGACUGUUAGUCGAGUGAUGUGGUCAAGUAUAUAUUCCUUCCUUGCUCUUUCACCCAAAUCUUCAUAUUCUCCUGGAUUCUCAACUGCUUUGUGUUCAUCUAACAGCUUCUGGUACCCUAGAGUCUCCAAAUGUAAAUCUCCUUCUUAGCUAUCCUUUGUUAGAGCACUCUGUUGAUGAUCUGUUUCUCUUAGCUCUUCUAGCAUUUCGUCAGCUAACAUAUCCAUCUCUUCAAUCCAGAAAACAUUUCCUUCUAUUGUAGGUUUCUUCAUGGUGUUGGUGAUAUCGAAGGUCAUCUUGAGAUCUCUCCCGAGGUUAAGAUCGAUCUUUCCCUUCUUAACAUCAAUGAUAGCUCCGACUGUAGCUAAAAAUGUUCUUCCCAAUAUCAAAGGGUCUUUAGGUUCUUCAUCCAUUUCUAGAACCACAAAGUCUGUAGGUACUUCGACCACGCCUUUCAUGACUGGUAAGUCUUCCAGGAGACCAUGGGGAAUUCUAACAGAUCUGUCAGCCAGGACCAGGGAUAUUUGUUUGUGUGAAACCAGAGAUAUCAUUCCUUAGUCUCGCAGUCCAGGAGUUUGAGAACAACUUAGCCAAGAAGGCUUUCUUGCAGUCAUUCCUGGAGGUGAUAGAGCCUUGAGGAAGCGAUUUUUCCCACUGAUGGGCUUUGUCUCCAAGAGAGAAUGGAAACAAUCUGAGCUUGAAGUCAUCCUCACUAACUCCAUUGAUCUUUGUUAGGCUGCAGAGCCUAUCAAACUCGUCCAGGUGAUCGAGUGGAUCCUCCAUAGGGAGGCCGUGGAAGUUGUUGCUCUGAACCAUGGCAAUGAGACCGCUAUUGAUCUCAAAGUUGUUGUUCUGCACUGGUGGAGGCACGGAUCCAUUACGCUGAUUGUGGUUGCGUGGUGCAUCGCCUGCACCUAUGUUGUUUGGUUGCACUUGCUCAUCUACAACUGUAGCCAUUGUGUCUGUUUCUGUCUGUGUUCUGAGUUGGCGUGCAAUACGGUCGAUAUUAUCGUUGAACAGGAGAUUCUGAUUUCCUCGUGACCGUGUUUGCAUACAACGAGUACCAACUGAUGAAGCUAGUGAUAGAAAUCCUCAAGCAACAGGUUUAACAACAAAUCAAUUCACUCCCGUGAUAGAAAUCCUCAAGCAAAGCUAGCCCAGACUAAUUCCCAUUAACGGAAUUUAACUAUGCAGGCAAUAAGAACAGACUGAUAAAGUCAAUAAACGCUCUAAACGGCCAAUCCCUUGGGAUAGAGACGCAUAUCUCAGGAACUAGUGGAUCAAGCAUUCCAUCGAACACCUUCUAGGUGCGGGAAUGCUUGAGAUCGAAUUCCAGUUGAUCAGAAAGAAAUAAGCAGUAAACGCAACUAGUCCUGAAGGGAUUCAAUCAAUUCUAAAACUUAACCAUUAUACAGACUACGAAUUCCACAACUACUCUAUCCCAUCCCUAAGAAUUCUAAGUCACUACUCAGACAACAUGCUCAAAGACAUAAACGCAGAUAAAUGAUAAUAUUGCAUAAGUAAAGAGAUAAAGAGUAGAGAAACAAGAUGACAGAUGAAAUCAAAUGCGGAAUCUGAAUAACUUGGAAAAAUCUCGAAUUACUGGUUGCAGAAGCAAAAGCGGCGCAGCAGAGUAAAACAGAAAAUAAAACUGAAGCAAAAACUCAAUGUCGACUAGAUGUCUCAGGACAGAACCCUAAGACAUCUAUUUAUACAAAACGAAAUAAAAUGAUAGUAGACAGGCCAAUAACCUAAUCCCCGGCCCAUAGAAUGAUAAUGGGCCGAGAUGGGCUUCGUGAUCCGAUGGAGGUCCAGGCCGCUUCCAAACACUUUGUUUUCUCCUCUUCUCUUCCUUGUGCUCAGCUUGUCUGGUUGAGUGCGGAUUUGAGUAGACUGUGAAGACGUGAUCGAGUGUCCGGUCGAGUGAUGGUGAUGGUGGUGAGUGAUGAUACUCGACCAGGGGGUCGAGUAACUUGGUAGAGUGAAUGGCCGAGUGUGGUCAGGUGGUGUGGCGAAGUGAUACUCGACCAGGGGGUUGAGUGGCAUCAUCGAGUGGCCUGAGCUGAGGAUACUCGACCAGGGGGUCGAGUAGAUGGGAAGAAUGGCUCCAAAGUUACUCGACUUGGGGUCGAGUAUGGUGCUGGAUGCACAGGACCUGGUGGUCGAGUAUGUCUUCUAGGUCUGGCUCGUUUCUUCCAAUUUGCUCGCAAACAGCUCCAAAUCACCUGAAAACAAAUCAGAAAUGCAAUAUGUAUGCAAAGCUAUCCUAAUCAUGCAAAGUAUGCAAGAAUGAUGAGAAAUGAUAUAAAACAGUGAUGAAUGAUACAAAACUGGACUCAAAACGAUGAUGAAUGGACACUGAAAACAUGCAAAUUAUAGACAUAUAACUCCCCUAAACUUAGUCUUUGCUUCCCCUCAAGCAAACAAUUAAGAACAAGCUGGUGGUGAGGUUUGAAAGCGGGGACUUAUAGCCAAAGCACCUGAUAAACCAUAUGAAAUCAAUGUCCAAAUUGAUAGUUCUAAGCUGCAAUAUGAUCGAAUUCUACUCAAAAACGUUAGCCAUGCCUUGUUAUUAAUCAAUCUGACUCAUAUGCUCGACCUACACAUGCUUUCAAAUCUACCAAUCCCUUUAACAUUCAUUAGUUCUGGAACGUGAAUCAAGCAAUGCAUCAUCAAUGAACUCAUUUGGCUAAGGUAAAAGGUCAAGAGACAAAGAUUGUCCCUUACAGAAUAGGCUUCAGUAACAGGGGAUCUCUCAAAAAAUGAUUAAGCUUUAGUAGAUUGCUAAAGGUAAGUCCCAAGCUAUGCAUAUAGAGAUAAGAUCCCAUCUACCCAGAGUAUAUCAAAUGAAGCUCUAAUGGUAAUCCCAUCUCCAAUCCCAAUAUAAAAACCUAACUCUACCCUUUGCAUUCAUGAAUCCUUUAUGCCCUUUUUCUAAUCAUUCUUUUCUUUUCUCUUAACUCUAGGAGAAGAUUUCUCAACACUUUGAUACAUCUAGCGGAUUUGGAUCUCUUUAACAACUAAGGUUCCUGUUUUUAGCAUUUUAAAACCGAGGGCUUUUGCCCAUCUUCAAUAGCUAACAAGAACUCUUUCUUUUCUUUACAAAUCCCAAAACCUUUACUAGAUUUUUUCUGCUUCUUUAGCUUACCUUACCUAGAGUCUUUUACCUUUUCUCAUCAGAAAAUCCAAGUAUUUUAGGGUAUCCAUGAGUUCAAAUUUGAUGCAAACAUGACAAUUAAAGAUCAGAUUCAGGUUCAUAUUGAUAGGGAAUGGUAUCAGAUCAUGACAGUGUGGUCGACUAGAGCAAUCUAGGCAUGGUUCAGUUUUAUUUCUAAUUCAUUGACUACGCAACAGACAACUAGCAAAGAGGGCACUAAGUUUAUCCGGUGAACCAAAAUGCUUACAAGGCUAUCUCAUCAUUAUCCCCUAUGCAUAUGCAAAAAUCCUAAAUGAAACACUCUAGACUCGAUCCUAAAUGUAAUGCAACUACAUAAACAUUCUUUUUUUUGUGAAAUCAUUUCUGAAAUUUUUCAAAAUUUUUUUGGUUUUUCUAUGCCUUAGAUGUAUGCGGACUAAAAAAUAUACACAAUGCAAUACACACUUCCUGAGCCCUCCCCAAAACUUAAAUCACACAGUCCACUGUGUGGAUAAACUUGGAAGAGAGUACCCAGGACAAAUCCAUUCACAGAAACAAAAUAAAGAACAAAUCACAAGAGAUGAUAUAAUACAAUGGUGAAGUGAGGCGCUUACCUCAGUCGAAGAAUGAACGAAGUCGGUCGUCAAUGGCUGCUUGUGAUUGCUCCCUGGCCAUAGACGAACCGCCCUGUUCCGUAUCAGCUCCAGUAGGUGGGUACUCGACCUCCUCAGCUCUGUGGCGGCCAUCACCGCUCUGAGGAUACUCGACCUCUCUUCUUCAUGUAAACUACGAGAAUGCAGAAGUCGUCUACCCUUGUUGUUAGAUUGAGUGAGUGUGGUCCUCCUCUUCCUCCCAGAUUCAUGAGGCUCGAAUGAUGAAUGCCUCGCAGGGACAUGCAGAAUCUCCUGCUCUCUAGGCUCAGGUUUGCGCCGAAUUGGCUCGGGCGCGUCAUAUCUCCUCGAAGGCAUGUCCUGAGGGAGCUGUCCCUGUGGAAUAGCUGUAGUGGAAGUGGAGCAGCUGAUCUUAUCCUUCAGAAACUUGAUAGCCCUGAGGCACUUGGCGAGAAACUUAUCCUGUUUCUUGCACCACUUCUGCAGCUUGAUGUUAUUCCUGUGAGCUUCGCUCAAACUCUUGCUUUCCCUCGCUGGAAGUAUAUGCUCACUGAAAUGAUACAUGCUCGUGUCAAACUCCGCCUAAUCUAUGUCAUCUGUCUCAUCAACAUCUUCUGUUAUAGCUCCUUCGGUGUGACUAAUCUCCUCAGUUGGCAGACUGCCCUCGAAAUAAAGAUCUUCAAGCGCAGGCUUGAAGUCAAUGUUCCUGCCCUCAAGAAUCCUAGUAGCAUCAAUGUAGGGGAGAAGAAUGUUGGCGAUUCUAAUCGAUGAAUGCUCGAACCUGUAGCGGUGAAAGUCGCUAGCCAUGUCAAACUCCAAGAACUCACAUCGGCGCAAGUGAUCCAAGUCCAUCAUUCUCGGUGCUAACCCUGGUUCCUUAAGCGGUACUCCACAAGCUUCCAGAAUUGGCGUCACAACGCCAUCCAUGCAUAGUGCUCCUGUCACCUUAUUCUUGUCGUUCGUCAACGCCCACUUCCUAUAUCCACACAGGUGGAUCAACAGAGGCAUGACUAGUGGUGCGUUGUUGAGAUCGCCUCUCAAGACAUUCUUUCCCUUUGUACAGCAGAGAAUCCCUGUAAGCGCGGAAUCUAUCAUCUCCAUGUCCGUGUUAGACACGGUGCAUGUAGACUCCCUAGAGUAAAAAACGUUGGCAACCGAGCGGUGAAAGUAGCGGAUCACAGGACUCCGGAUUUGGUUGCUUUUGGACCGCGCCAAGUUUAGCGGUAAAUUAUUCCCAAUAGUAGCCCACAAAUCCUUAAGCUCUUCCCUGUCAAACCUGGUUUUGGUUCCCUUUCCACUAGGGAAACAAAACAGUUCUUCCAACUUCUUGAUCGAAAGCUGAUACCACUGUUCAUCCAUUGAGAACGUCAAGAACCCUAACCCUAAACCCUAAACCCUAAACCCUAAACCCUAAACCCUAAACCCUAAACCCUAAACCCUAAACCCUAAACCCUAAACCCUAAACCCUAAACCCUAAACCCUAAACCCUAAACCCUAAACCCUAAACCCUAAACCCUAAACCCUAAACCCUAAACCCUAAACCCUAAACCCUAAACCCUAAACCCUAAACCCUAAACCCUAAACCCUAAACCUUAAACCCUAAACCCUAAACCCUAAACCCUAAACCCUAAACCCUAAACCCUAAACCCUAAACCCUAAACCCUAAACCCUAAACUCAAUGUAUGUGAGUCCCUCAUACAUCUCCACUUGCAGUGUGGAAAGAAACUCGAUUGUCUCCUCCUUAUAGGAAGCGUAAGAGUAAGACAUGAGUGUUUCCAGAUGCCACUUCUCGAACAGAUGCUGCACGUCCUCCAGUAACCCCAGCUGGGCUAAAGUCUCAUAGUAGGGAUACCUCGUUCCCCAUAAAUCAUUCAUCUCAAAGAAUCUGAUAUACUCCUCCACUGUAACCUAUUCGGGUUUGUUCAGUAGCUUCGUCUUCUUGCACCAUGACUUUGGCUCAUACUCAGUUUUGAUGUCCUCAUCAAUCAGCUCAUAUCUACUGGGCAUCGCUCUCUUCCCUCUGGUGAUUUCUGCUCUUCUCUGAUUACGUCGAGCAGAGGAGCGUUGAAAUUCAUCCCUGAAGCUCUCGUAAACAUGUUCCUCUCUCUCCGGUCUAGAGGACCAGGACUCAGCUUCAUCCACAUUAUAAUCAGGAUCCAUAGAGGAUUCUCGACUGUAGUUACUCAUGAUCAAACCUGUAAACAAUUGAAACUCAAAGAUAAACGUUAAUAAGUUAGUCUCAACAAAACCAAAAACACAAACCAACACAGUAAACCGGUCGAGUGAUGUAAUCGAGUAAACCUUCGUUUAAUUUUUUUUUUUUUUUCUUUUCUUUCGGUUGAUCAAGUGAUUUCGUACGACCGAGUGAAGUUCGUUUCGUGGUAAGAGUGAUGCGUAGGUCGAGUGGUGAGCUUGAAGAGGAGGAGAUAUGGUGAUGCGGUUUGAAAGAGGUUAAGUGAAAAUGGAGGAGCGGUGAUUCGAGUGAUUGUGGUGGUUGAGAGGCGAGGUGAGCUGAAUGAUUCCUCGGUUGCGAAUGUGAGAAGAGAAGACGCGAUCGAGUGAAGAGGCGAUGAAGAAGUUUAUUAUGAGGGAUCGAGUGAAGUGGAGCUCACGGAAGAAGAGAAGAUGGUGGUGGCUUUGGUGAAGAGGUGAGUUGCCGCAAUCGAGUGGUUGUGAGCUUGGAGGUCGAGUGAUUAAAACGAACACUUGAAGACUUGAAUUGCAAUGAGCGACGAUGGGAGAUGAGAGAGUUGCGAAAAGUUUGGUGUGUGGAGAAAGAUGUUGAGGUCGAGUAUAUGAAGAGGAUGGUGAGGAGGUCGAGUGGAUGAGAGUAUGAGAGUUGGGUUGUUGGUUGUAAUGAAUGAGGAGGGAUGGGGUCGAGUUAAUAGGUGUGGAGGAGAUAACGAGGUCGAGUAAGUGAUAGGUGUGGGAUGGGGAUGGCGUCGAGGUUGAGUGGAGAUAGGAUAAGGUGAGGGGGUCGAGUGGUUGUGAGAAGAAAGAGUUGGAUUUCUUGUCUGUUGGUUAGGAGCGUGGGAGACAUAGGGUGCAGCAGUGGGUCCCUCGUCUGUCUCCUUAUUCUAAAUUAUUAUUCUUUCUUCACUAGGAAAGUCUCAGGAAAUCCAACAAUCUUCUGUAAACUUAAUAAACUUCCUGUAAGAACUUGUAGCUUCUGUUGGUCGAGUGAAAUGAUGAUUUAAAAGUUUUAGAUUUUAAACACUCAACCAAUGUACUCGGUCCCUAGGCCGUCUGUAGAGUAAAAGUUUUGAAUUUUUACUCUAGCUUUACGUUAUUCCUCUGUUCCUGAGAACCACAAACACAACUAAAAUAAAUCAAAAAUAACAAGAAAGUAAAAAUUAUUUACAAGGAUAAUCAUGGGACUUCCUCCCAAGUGAGUUUGUUUAAAGUCUCUAGCUUGACUCCUCACACUUAUCAAGAAGAAAAUGAAUGAUAGAGAGGGUCUGCAUAGUCCUCUCUAAUAUCAUCAUCAUACUCAGCGUCCUCCCUGGAGAGGUCUACAGCAGAAUACUCAAUUCCCCUCUCUUCAAAAUAUGCUUCUUUCUCUUUUGGAGGGUUAUCUAUCUCUUCAGACCAUCUUGAAGUGAACUUCUUUAUAGGGAUAGUGUCAAUCCCGCCUUUAGGUUGAGCUUCCUUCUGCAACUGAUUCUGCUUACUUCUAAGUUCCUCAACAGUGUGGGCUUGCUUCUCUAUAGUUUCAUCUUGCUUCUCAGACCUCUUUUUAAGUUCCUUUACUCUUUUAGUCUCAUAUCCUUCUCCUGAGAUCGCUCUAUCAUUUCCAAAGGUUUUUCCAUCUUCUGUUGACCCUUGUGGAGUUUUGUUGAUGUCAAACUGCAACUUGAUGUGCUUUCCAAGGUUGAGACUUAUUUUCCCUUCCCUGACAUCUAUCACUGCUCCCACUGAAGCUAAGAAGGAUCUUCCCAGGAUUAAGGACCCUUAUGCUCUACUUCCAUAUCCAGCACCACGAAGUCUGUAGGCACUUCUACUCCAUUAAUCAUGACUGGUAGAUCUUUCAGCAUGUCGUAGGGUUUUCUUAAAGACCUAUCCGCAAGGAUCAAAGUCAGGUCACAAGGUUUAUACUGAAUAAACUCUAACCUUCUUGCCACAGAGAGUGGCAUUAAGCUGACAGAGGCUCCGAGAUCGCACAGACAAUCGCUGAAAGCUAAUUACCCAAUGGAACAUGGUAGAGUGAAAGAUCCAGGAUCUUCUAACUUUUCUUGAACAAUCCUCUUAUCAACAGCUCGAGAUGGAGUGGCAUCACUUUCAUCAUCUGAAUUGUGAUACAUCUUGAUCUUUUCCAGUAUCAAAUUUCUCACAUCUUUGUGAGGAUCGGGAAUCAGGUUGAGAAUUUCCAUCAGUGGCAUCACUUCUUCAAUCUUGUCUACCUGCUUCGCUGCAACAGACUUGUAUCUCUCCAUCCACGCUUUCUUGAAUGUCCACGGAAAAGCACGUGAGGGUAAUGAAGUAUGUUUGAAUCGUUUUACCAUUCUCUCGAUUAUGGCGGACUUCUCUUCUGAGGUGGAUUGAAUGAGAUGGCGAGAACAAGAAGAAUGGUUGAAUUCAAGAACAGAGACUUCAAUCUGAGUGGAAGCCUUCCUUUCUUGAACAUCACUGUCCCUAGUGAUUAAGUCAGGGACAUGUCGAGUUGGCAGCUCUCGAUCAUGGCAGUUAGUGAUGGCGUGAGCAGUUGCAUACUCCUUUGAAUUCUGUAUUGACUUCCUUGGAAGUCCUGUGACUUUAGGUGCAGAGGUAGAUGCUGAUUGUCCUUCUAAAUAUCUGACUUUGGUAUUCAAUGCCUCCACUUUGGCAUUCAGGUCAUUGUAGUUGUAGUCCAGCUUAUGGUGCAAUUCAAAUAAUUUCUUAGCAAUUUCCAUGGAGCUAGAUGCUUGUCCCUGUAGCAGCUGUUGUACCAUCUGUUUCAUUUCAGCAUCAGGAGCAGCAGGAUCUUGGUUUUGCUGAGGUGCAAACCCAGGUGGUGGUUGCGGCUGGUAGUUCCCCUGAAAUUGCUGCUUAGGAACAAAACCUUGAUUGUAAGGAACAAAAGGUUUGUUCUGAUCUUGUUGUUGCUGUGGAGGAUACACUUGAUCUUGAGGAUUAACAACGUUGGUGCUGCGGUAGGAGAGGUUGGGGUUGUUGGUUUUGAAGUUGUUAUACCCUUUGUAGCCGCUCUGGUUGUUGUUGAUGUAGCUGACUUCUUCCAACUGGUUACCCUCCCCACCUUGGACUUGAUACUUCUCGUCAUCAACAAGGAAGUGCACAUGCUUCUGCUGGCUAAGAAGAAUCAUGUCCAGCUUGUCAUUCAGUGCUUUGAUCUCCUUCCUUUGUUUGUCAUCAGAUUCAGUUGUGCCUCUGACGGUCCUAUCACAGUCCUCGUUGUAAUUACCAUCUGAUUGAGCAAGGUUCUCAACAAUUUCCCAGCCUUCUUCAACAUCUUUGUUCUGGAAGUUCCCAUUGCUGGCGGUUUCCAGAAGGAUUCUCAUGCGUGGCAAAACGCCUCUAUAAAGAGUGCUGAGCAGAGAGGCUUUAGUGAAGCCAUGAUGAGGGCAUUGGGUUGUAUAACCCUUAAAACGCUCCCAUUCUUCACAGAAGCUUUCACCAGCCUUCUGUAAAAAGCCAGAGAUCUCAUUUCUGAGUCUUGCAGUUCUGGCGUUGGAGACGAACUUUGAUAGAAAAGCCUUCUUGCAAUCAUCCCAGGUGGUGAUUGAGUCAUGGGACAGAUUCUACUCCCAAAUGUGAGCUUUGUCGCCCAAGGAGAAUGGAAACAAACGGAGCUUGAAUCCGUCUUCACUGACACCAUUGAUUUUUGUUAGGUUGCAGAGCCUAUCGAAUUCAUUAAGGUGGUCGAGUGGAUCCUCAAUUGGCAGACCAUGGAAUUUGUUCCCCUGAAUCAUCGAGAUGAGACCGCUCUUAAUCUCGAAGUUGUUGUUCUAGAUAGCAGGAGGUGCAAUUCCUUUCCGCUAACGGUGAUCACGUGGUGCGUUUCCAGCACCAAUGUUGGCAGGGCCUUUUUGAUGAUUCUGUUCGUCAGCCAUUUCGAGUGGUUGUUGUGGUAUUAGGUUGACUGUGUUUCUCUUUUCUCUGAGUUCGCGAGCUAUGCGGUCGAUGUUGUCGUUGAAAAGGAGGUUCGGAUUGCCUGUUGAUCGAGUUUGCAUACAGCAGAGGUGUACCUAGAACAAGAAGACAACAAGAAAAAUACACAGUUAGCAACCGAAUUGAAAAUUGAAAAAGAACUUGAUCUAAGCAAGUCUGAAAUCUCAAAUGUAACAAAAAAACACCCAAUUGGCAACGGCGUCAAAUUGAUAAUAGAUUUUUUAGUCAGUUAUCUUAAAACACGAAUCAUGUCGUUGUAGUAUUUUAGUGGCUUGCUAGAACACUGCUAGAACACCAAUCAUACAGCAGAGGUGUACCUAGAACAAGAAGACAACAAGAAAAACACACAGUUAGCAACCAAAUUGAAAAUUGAAAAAGAACUUGAUCUAAGCAAGUCUGAAAUCUCAAAUGUAACAAACAAACACCCAAUUGGCAACAGGGACAAAUUGAUAAUAGGUUUUUUAGUCAAUUAUCUUAAAACACCAAUCAUGUCGUUGUAAUAUUUUAGGUUGUCAAUCCAAAUGAGUUUGAUGCUAACAAUAAGGAUGACUUGAUGGCAUGUGUAUGAUUGGUGUUCUAGCAGUGUUCUAGCAAGCCACUAAGUCACUAAGUCACUAAGUCAAGCCAAGUAAUAACAGGUUUUGGUGUGUUCUAGCAGUCCUAAGUGAACAUGCAGAAAACAGAAAAUCAAGCAGAAACAAUAAAACACUUGACCAACACAGCUCGUUGCAGAGCACUGGGUGUGGUCGAGUGACAGUUCGAGUAACAGACAGAAAAUGUAACAGGGAUACUCGAUUGCACAGUCUGUUGCCGGACAACUGGGGGGUCAAGUAACAGGUCGAGUAACAGUAAAGAAUUGCAGAAACUAAGCAACAGAUGAAAAGAUGCAGUAAACAACAGUAGAGUAAACAAUAAAAUCAAUCAGAUAAAGAAUUCCCGAGGAUGGGGUAAUUGAGUAGUUUCGUUUCCUCAAUUUACAGGUGAUUGACAUGCUCAAUAAAUUAUCCCUAGACAACAAGUUCAUUAACCAAAUCUAAGUGCCACCGCAAUAGAGACCCUCAACUUAACCUAGUCCCAGACUCAAUCACCAUUGACGAGAGCUAACCUUAUAGGCAUUACGAAUCAACAAGUUAAAGCCAAAACACUCCCUGCAACCAAUACCUUGGUACUGAGCCACGAAUCUCUGGAAUUAGUGGUUCAGACAUUUCAUCGAACACCUUUUGGGCGCGGAAAUGUCUGGGCUCAAAUUCCAGUUGAUCAAAAAGCAAUAGGGAUUAAGAACAACUAAUCCAGAAGGGAUCUAUCAAUCAAUACUCAACCACCUAGCAUACUGAGAAUUCUACACUACUCUAACCCAUCCUCAGAAACCUAUUCACUACUCAGACAUCAUUGAAGAGAACAUAAACGUUGAACAGGAUGAAAACAUGAUAACAACAGUGUAAUAGCAAAACAAUAACAGGAUGAACAACAAUAAACAAAAUCAAGAACAAAUACUGAAUACUGAAUAGAUAAAGAGAAAUCCAGAUUACAAAAGGUCUAGAACACAAUGUCUGCGAAAUAAAACUAGAUAAAAACCUCUUCUCGAAAAUGUAAAGUACAUGCUACUUAUAGCAAAAUAUUCGAAAACCCUAAUACUCAAAACGAUGCAGUAUUGGGACAUAUUAAGAACUAUACUCAACCCAGAUGGUCGAGUGAGAGGUCGAGUGAUAUGCUAGAGUCUUCUUUUCUUCCUUGUGCUCGAGUGUCUAGUUGAGUGCGGAAUGAAGAAGACUCUAAAGCUUGCCAUAGAGUAUGUAGUCGAGUGGUGGUGGUGAAGACACUCAACCUGGGGGUUGAAUGAUGUGAUCGAGUGACUGGUCAGGUGGUGGAGGUGAAUACACUCGACCAGGUGGUCGAGUGAGGUGAUCGAGUAUCUCUCGUGGUGGUACUCGGCCAGAGGGUCGAGUGAUGAGAUGAAAUUGUGAACUCCCCUACUCGACCAGGGGGUCGAGUGGUCUGUUGAGGUCUUGAAGCUUCUACUCGACCUCGGGGUCGAGUGGUUUGACAUGAUCAGGUCCGCUUCUUCCAGUUAGCUCGUCAACAGCUCUAAAUCACCUGAAAUCAACACAAAUAUGCAACAUGCAUGCAAACCUAUCCUAAACAUGCAAAGUGAUGACAAAUGAUGAGAAUGGUAUAAAACACUGAUGAUAAGGUGCUAAAGUGAUGACAAAUGGUAUGCUCAAACUUGCAAAAUACACACUUAUCAACAUGAUAGCAACAAAGUAAUAGCAGGAUGAUAAUAGGAUGAACAACUUGGUAAACCAAAUCAAAAGCAAAUACUGAAUACUGAAUAGAUUAAGAGAAAUCCGGAUUACAAAAACGUCAAGAACACAGUGUCUGCGGAAAAUAAAACUUAGGUAAACGAAAAUGUAAAAUACAUGGUACUGAUAGCGAAAUAUUAUGAAACCCUAAUACUCAAAACGACACAAUAUUGGGACGGAUUAAGAACGGUACUCGACCCAGGUUGUCGAGUAAUUUGUCGAGUGAUAAGCUGGAGUCUUCUUCUCUUCCUUGUGCUUGAGUGUUGGUUGAGUACGGAAUGGAGAAGACUCUAAAGCUGGAAGUCGAGUAAGAAGUCGAGUGAUUGAGAUGGUGGUACUCGGCUUGGUGUUAAAGUGAUCGUAGAGUGUGUGAUGAUGGUGGGACUCGGUCGUGUAAUCGAGUGAGUGAUCGAGUGAUUGUGAUGGGGAUGCUCGACCAGGGGGUCGAGUGGUGUGAUCGAGUGAUUGUCAGGUGGUGUGUUGAAGUCGUUAAGCCAUGUACUCGACUAGGUAGGUCGAGUGGUUUGAUAUGAUCAGGUCCGCUUCUUCCAAUUAACUCGCCAAUAGCUCCAAAUAUCCUGAAAGCAACACAAAUAUGCAACAUGCAUGCAAAACUAUCCUAAACAUGCAAAGUGAUGACAAAUGAUGAGAAAUAAUAUAAAAAAAUGGUAAUAUGAUGCAAUAGUGAUAACAAAUGGAUGCUCAAAACAUGUAAAAUGCACACUUAUCAAGUAGAAGAGCUAGAACCGCAACCGGAUUUUGAAAACCCAAGUAGUGUUUCCUUGUUAGAAGAUACAAAGCCCAAGACUCAUACGGACUUCGGUUACACCAUUAAAGCUUUGAGAAGCAAGAAGAAGUUUGGUUUGUGUUUUUCAGUCAAAUAUGACCAGAUGUCAUUUGUAUGAUUGAGUAUAAGAACUCAAACCACAGCCGGAUCUUGAAAGCCCAAAUAGUGUUUCCUUGAUAGAAGAUACAAAGCCAAAUUCUCAUACGAACGUCGGCUACACCAUCAAUGCUUUGAGAAGCAAGAAGAAGCUUGGUUAGUGUUUUGGAGUCAAAUAUGACUUUAUGUCAUGUGUAUGUUUAAGUAUUAGAACUUAAACUACAAACGGAUCCCAAAAGCAAAAUUAGUUUUUCCAUGCUAGAAGAUACAAAGCAAAAUAUUCAUACUGACUUCGACAUCACCAUUAAAGCCUUAGGGAGCAUGAAGAAGCUUGGUUGGUGUUUUGAAGUCAAAUAUGACUUGAUGGCAUGUGUAUGAUUGAGUAUAGGAACUCAACCACAACCGGAUCUUGAAAGCCCAAGUAGUGUUUCCUUUUUAGAAGGUACAAAGACAAAGACUCAUACGGACUUUGGGUACACCAUCAAAACUUUGAGAAGCAAGAAGAAGCUUGGUUAAUGUUUUGGAAUCAAAUAUGACUUGAUGUCAUGUGUAUGAUGGAGUAUAAGGACGAGAAUUGCAACCGGAUCUUAAAAGCCUAAGUAGUGUUUCCUUGUUAGAAGAUACAAAGCCAAUGAAUCAUACGGACUUUCGCUACACCAUCAAAGCUUUGUGAAGCAAGAAGAAGCUUAGUUAGUAUUUUAGAGUCAAAUAUGACUUGAUGUCAUGUGUAUGAUUGAGUAUACGAACUAGAACCUUAACUGGAUCUUAAAACCCAAAGUAGUGUUUCCUUGUUAGAAGAUACAAAGCAAAAGACGCAUGUGGACUUUGGUAACACUAUUAAAGCAUUGAGAAUCAAGAAGAAGCUUGGUUAGUAUUUUGGUGUCAAAUAUGACUAGAUUUCAUGUGUAUGAUUUGAGUAUAAGAACUAGAACUGCAACCCGAUCUUUAAAGCCUAAGUAGUGUUUCCUUGUUAGAAGAUACAAAGCCAAAGACUCAUACGGACUUCAGCUACACCAACAAAGUUUCGAGAAGCAAGAAGAAGCUUGGUUAGUGUUUUGGAGUCAAAUAUGACUUGAUGUCAUGUGUAUGAUUGGGUAUAAGAAUUAUAACCGCAACCGGAUCUUAAAACCUAAGUAGUAUUUAUUUUUUAGAAGAUACAAAGCCAAACAUUCAUACGGGCUUUGGUUACACCAUUAAAGCUUUGAGAAGCAAGAAGAAGCUUGAUUAUUGUUUUAGAGUCAAAUAUGCCUAGAUGGCAUGUGUAUGAUUGAGUACAAGAACUCGAACCACAACUGGAUCUUGAAAGCCAAAGUAGUGUUUCCUUGUUAGAAGAUGCAACGCCAAUUACUCAUACGGACUUCGGCUACACCGUCAAAGCUUUGAGAAGCAAGAAGAAUCUUGGUUUGUGUUUUGGAGUUAAAUAUAAAGUGAUGUGAUGUCUAUGGUUGAAUAUUAGAACUUGAACCGCAAACGGAUCCAAAAAGGAAAAGUAGUGUUUCCAUGCCAGAAAAUACAAAGCCAAAGACUCAUACGGACUUCGACAUCACCAUCAAAGCCUUAGGAAGCCAGAAGAGGCUUGGUUAGUUUUUUGGAGUCAAAUAUGACUAUGAUUGAGUAUAAGAAUUCAAACUGCAACCGGAUCUUGAAUGCCGAAGUAGUGUUUCUUUUUUAGAAGAUACAAAGCCAAAUACUCAUACGGACUUUGGCUACACCAUCGAGAAGCAAGAAGAAGCUUGGUUAGUGUUUUGGAGUCAAAUAUGAAUUGAUGUCCUGUGUAUGAUUAAGUAUAAGACCUAGAUUGGCAACCAGAUCUUGAAAGCCUAAAUAGUGUUUCCUUGUUAGAACAUACAAAGCCAAUGAUUCAUACGGACUUCAUCUACACUAUCAAAGCUUUGGGAAGUAAGAAGAGGCUUAGUUAGUGUUUUAGAGUCAAAUAUGACUUGAUGUAAUGUAUAUGAUUGAGUAUAAGAACUAGAACCACUACCAGAUCUUAAAAGCCUAAGUAGUGUUUCCUUGUUAGAAGAUACAAACCAAAGACUCAUACAGAUUUUGAUUACACCAUUAAAACUUUAAGAAGCAAGAAGAAUCUUGGUUAGUGUUUUGGAGUCAAAUAUGUCCAGACGACAUGUGUAUGAUUUAGUAUAAGAACUCGAACUACAACCUAAUCUUGAAAGCCCAAAUAGUGUUUCCUUGUUAGAACAUACAAAGCCAAUGACUCAUACGAAUUUCAGCUACACUAUCAAAGCUUUGAGAAGCAAGAAGAGGCUUAGUUAGUGUUUUAGAGUCAAAUAUGACUUGAUGUCAUGUGUAUGGUUAAGUAUUUGGACUAGAAAUGGAAACUGAUAUGUCUAUAAUUUGCAUGUUUUCAGUGUCCAUUCAUCAUCGUUUUGAGUCCAGUUUCGUAUCAUUCAUCACUGUUUUAUAUCAUUUCUUAUCAUUCUUGCAUACUUUGCAUGAUUAGGAUAGCUUUGCAUACAUAUUGCAUUUAUGAGUUGUUUUAGGUGAUUUGGAGCUGUUUGCGAGCAAAUUGGAAGAAACGAGCCGGAACCAGAAGACAUACUCGACCCCCAGGUCGAGUGACUUCGGAGCCAUUCUUCCCACCUACUCGACCACUUGACAACACUCGACCGUUCACUCUACCACAUCACUCGACCCCAUGGUCGAGUAUCACUUCGCCACACCACCUUACAACACUCGACCGUUCACUCUACCACAUCACUCGACCCCAUGGUCGAGUAUCACUUCGCCACACCAUCACCAUCACUCGACCGGACACUCGAUCACGUCUUCACAGUCUACUCAAAUCCGCACUCAACCAGACAAGCUGAGCACAAGGAAGAGAAGAGGAGAAGACAAAGUGUUUGGAAGCGGCCUGGACCUCCAUCGGAUCACGAAGCCCGUCUCGGCCCAUUAUCUUUCUAUGGGCCGGGUAAUUAGGUUAUUGGCCCGUUUACCAUCAUUUUAUUUUGUUUUGUAUAAAUAGAUGUCUUAGGGUUCUGUCCUGAGACAUCCAGUCGACAUUGAGUUUUUGCUUCAGUUUUAUUUUCUGUUUUACUCUGCUGCGCCGCUUUUGCUUCUGCAACCUGUAAUUCGAGAUUUUUCCAAGUUAUUCAGAUUCCGCAUUUGAUUUCAUCUGUCAUCUUGUUUCUAUACUCUUUAUCUCUUUACUUAUGCAAUAUUAUCGUUUACCUGCGUUUAUGUCUUUAAGCAUUUUGUCUGAGUAGUGACUUAGAAUUCUUAGGGAUGGGAUAGAGUAGUUGUGGAAUCCGUAGUCUGUAGAAUGGUUAAGUUUUAGAAUUGAUUGAAUCCCUUCAGGACUAGUUGCGUUUACUGCUUAUUUCUUUAUGAUCAACUGGAAUUCAACCCAAGCAUUCCCGCACCCAGAAGGUGUUCGAUGGAAUGUUCGAUCGACUAGUUCCUGAGAUAUUCGUCUCUAUCCCAAGGGAUUGGCCGAUUAGAGCGUUUAUUGACUUUAUAAGUCUGUUCUUAUUGCCUGCAUAGUUAGAUUCCGUUAAUGGGAAUUAGUCUGGGCUAGCUUUGCUUGAGGAUUUCUAUCACGGGAGUGAAUUAAUCUGUUGUUGAACCUGUUGUCUAGGGAUAGCUUGAUUGCGCUUGUUAACCAUUCGAAUAGGCUAGGAUACCACUCUACUCGAUUACCCUAUCCUUAGGAAUUUCUCGUCUAUCUUAUUUCUCUGUUUUAUUGUUAUCGCUUAAUCGUUGUCAUUGCCUGUUUCUUAGUUUUUGCAAUUACUCGACCAACUUACUCGACCACACCCAGUGUCUGGCAACAGACUGUGCAGUCGAGUGCAGUUGUUUCAUUUCCUGUCUGUUACUCGACCAGUAUACUCGACCACACCCAGUGUCUAGCAACAGACUGUGCAGUCGAGUAUAUCUGUUUCAUAUCCUGCCUGUUACUCGACCACAUCCUACUCCUGGCAUUAGCCUGUUGUGGUCGAGUGAUUUUAGUAAUUCUGUUAUUCUUUCUGUUUUCUGCAUGUUCACUUAGGACUGUUAGAAACCCCAAAACUGUUAUUGCUUGGCUUGACUUAGUGACUUCUGAUCACAUCUCAUUUGUCUGCAUCACACCCAUUUGGAUUGACACCUAAAAUACUACAAUGACAUGAUAGGUGUUUUAGGAUAAUUGACCAUAAAAACCUAUUAUCAAUUUGGCGCUGUUAUCUUUUUCAUUUUUUCUGAAAGUUACUAACUUUGUGUUUUUUCUGUUUGUCUGUUUUGAUUUAGGUACUACGAUACCAGCUUUACAAGUUGGUACUCGUUGUAUGCAAAUACGGUCACGAGGAAAUCAGAAUCUCCUGUUCAACGAUAACAUCGACCGUAUUGCACGCCAACUCAGAACACAGACAGAAACAGAGACAAUGGCUGCAGUUGUUGAUGAGCAGGUGCAACCAAACAACAUAGGUGCAGGCGAUGCACCACGCAACCAGAAUCAGCGUAAUGGCAUCGUGCCUCCACCUGUGCAGAACAACAACUUUGAGAUCAAGAGCGGUCUCAUUGCCAUGGUUCAGAGCAACAAGUUCCACGGCCUCCCUAUGGAGGAUCCACUCGAUCACCUGGACGAGUUUGAUAGGCUCUACAGCCUAACAAAGAUCAAUGGAGUUAGUGAGGAUGGUUUCAAGCUCAGAUUGUUUCCAUUCUCUCUUGGAGACAAAGCACAUCAGUGGGAAAAGUCACUUCCUCAAGGCUCUAUCACCUCCUGGAAUGACUGCAAGAAAGCCUUCUUGGCUAAGUUUUUCUCAAACUCCAGGACUGCGAGACUAAGGAAUGAUAUCUCCAGUUUCACUCAAACGAAUAAUGAGACUUUCUGUGAAGCAUGGGAGCGCUUCAAAGGUUAUCAGACGCAAUGUCCUCAUCAUGGUUUCUCCAAAGCUUCACUUCUCAGCACUCUCUAUAGAGGUGUCCUUCCCAAGAUCAGAAUGCUUCUUGAUACCGCUUCCAACGGGAACUUCCUCAACAAAGACGUUGAAGAAGGAUGAGAGCUGGUAGAGAACUUAGCUCAGUCGGAUGGCAACUAUAAUGAAGAUUAUGACAGAAGCAUCCGCACCAGCUCUGAUUCUGAUGAGAAGCACCGCAGGGAAAUGAAAGCCAUGAAUGACAAACUGGACAAGCUACUCCUUGUGCAACAAAAGCACAUUCAUUUUCUGGGUGAUGAUGAGACAGUCCAAGUGCAGAACCAAGGAGGUCAGCUAUGUGCAGAACCAAGGAGGUUACAACAAAGGUUUCAACAACUUCAAGCAGAGCCAUCCAAAUCUGUCUUACAGGAGUACAAAUGUUGCAAACCCGCAUGACCAAGUCUACCCUUCACAGCAGCAAAAUCAACCCAAGCCCUUUGUUCAUACAACCAAGGUCAGGGGUAUGUUCCUAAGCCGCAGUAUCAGGGCAACUAUCAGCAGCAACUUCCACCACCUAGGUUCACACACCAGCAACAACAACUAGCUUCAACAACUCCAGAUUCAGACUUGAAGAACAUGUUACAGCAGAUUCUCUAGGGACAAGCUGCAGGUGCAAUGGAUCUUGCCAAAAAGAUGGCAAAAAUCCACAACAAGGUUGAUUGUACUUUCAAUGAUCUGAAUAUCAAACUUGAGGCACUUACCUCUAAGGUCAGAUACAUGGAAGGACAAACAGCGUCAACUUCUGCUCCAAAAGUAACAGGACUUCCAGGAAAGUCAAUACAGAACCCGAAGGAAUACGCCACCGCUCACGCUAUCACCAUCUGUCAUGAUCGAGAGCUGCCUACUCGACAUGUUUCCACAUCAAUCACCGAGGACAGUGAUGUUCAGGACGGGGAGGCUUCUACUCAGAUUGAAAUUUCAGUGGUUGGACUCGACCAUUCAGCUGGAUCCCGUUUUCAAACCGAGUCCAACCUAGACGAGAAAGCAGCCAUCAUUGAGAGGAUGGUAAAACGAUUCAAGCCAGCACCAUUACCUUCACGUGCUCUUCCAUAGAAAAUUCAGGAAAGCAUGUAUAGAAAGAUACAAUUCUCUUGCAGAGAAGCAGCUUGAUGAGAUGGAAACGGCUUGAUGAGAUGGAAGCGGUGAUGCCUCUAAUAGAAGUUCUCAACCUAAUCCCGGAUCCUCACAAAGAUGUGAGAAAGUCAAUUCUGGAAAGGAUCAAGAUUCAUCAAGAUUCAGAAGACGAAUGUGAUGCUAUUCCGUUUAGGACCACUGCUAAGAGGAGUGUUCAAGAAAAACAGGAAGAUCCAGGAACUUUCACUCUACCAUGUUUCAUUGGUCAAUUGGUUUUCAGCCAUUGUCUUUGUGAUUUGGGAGCUUCAGUAAGCUUAAUGCCACUCUCCGUGGCAAGGAAGCUGGAAUUCACUCAGUACAGGCCUUGCGACCUGACUUUGAUCCUUGCUGAUAGGUCUUCAAGAAAACCCUUUGACCUUCUACAAGAUCUGCCAGUAAUGAUUAAUGGAGUGGAAGUGCCUACGGAUUUCGUUGUUCUUGAUAUGGAAGCAGAACCUAAGGAUCCUCUAAUCCUAGGAAGACCUUUCUUAGCCUCAGUGGAAGCGAUGAUAGAUGUCAGAGAUGGGAGAAUAAGUCUUAACCUUGGGAAGCACAUCAAGAUGCAGUUUGACAUCAACGAAACUUCGCAAAGGUCAGCUGUAGAAGAAAAGAUCAGGGCUCAACCUCAACGUUCGAAUUCAAUCACCAGACCAAGCACAGCCUCUACACCUAACUUGCGAGAUCUCAAAAAGAAAUCUGAUGAGCAAGAAGAGACCAUAGAGAAGCUAGCUCAGACAGUUGAGGAACUUAAGAGUAAACUGGAUCAUAUGCAAGAGAUAGCUCAAUCCAAAUGCGGGAAUAACACUAUCCCGAGAAAAAAGAUUACUUCAAGAUGGUCUAAGGAGAUAGAUUAUCCACCAGAAGAGAAAGAGGCCUAUUUCGAGGAAAGAAGAAUUGAGUAUUCUGCUACUCAUCUCUCAAGAGAGGAUGCUGAAUAUGAUGAUGAGAUCAGAGAGGACUAUGAAGAUCCUCUCUAUCACCCAUUUUCUUCUUAAUGAGUGUGAGGAGUCAAGCUAGAGACUUUAAACAAGCUCACUUGGGAGGAAUUCCCAAGACUGUUUCUGUAAAUAAAACUUUUAUUUUCUUGUUAUUUUUGAUUUGUUUUUGGUUGUGUUUGUGAUUCUCAGGAACAGAGAAACAGCGUGGAGGUAGAGUAAAAAUUUAAAAAUUUUACUCUACAGAGCAACAGGAGAACGAGUAUGUCAGAAAUUCAAGAGUUUGAAAAACUUUUGUUGCACUAAGAGGCCAUGAGGUCGAGUAAGUUUGGUCGAGUAUUAGUGAUGAUUUUAAAAAAACCCAAAAUUUUUAAAUCAUAUCUAUACUCGACCAACAGAAGCUACAGAGACUUGCAGGGAGUUUAACAAGUUUACAGAGGAUUACAGAAGGUUCUAGUCAACAGAGAACAGCGCUUCAGGACAAACAGACAGAGCGUGGCCAACCACCUCUCACCUUUGUUCCCCCACGCGUUUUUAGAGAUAACAAAAUCUCUUCCCUCUUUCCCAACCACUCGAUCUCACUCUAUCCCUAUCCUCUCCCACCGACAUCAUCUCUCUCCCUCUCCAAACACUCGACCAAGAAGAUUCACUCUACCUCACGUUUCUCACUCGACCAAACCUCACCAUCUCUCUUCCUCUCCAAGCACUUGACCGCACCAUCACACUCGACCUCACCGUUCACUCGAUCUCUCCCCUCCGGCUUCACCAUCUCUCGCUGCUUUGUCACCCUCUCACUCGACCAAACCUCACUCGUCAUCUCUCGCACCGCCUCCCAUUUACUCGAUUGCAACGCCCUCCUCUCCAUCCGCCGCUUUCUCGACCUCGUCGUCCCAGCUCUCACUGCUCACGCCUCCGCCCUCUCUCUCUCAUUCACUCGACGACGGGACAGGUUUCAUCUUCACUCAACCGCUACUCGACUUCUUUCACUCGACCGCAUCGCAAUUUGGACAAAGAGGCUCUUCAUUCGAUUUUCGAUAAACGGCCAGAGUUUCUCUCUCUCGUUCUCGCAAGCUAACUCGACUUCGCCGGAGCUUCUCGUCGUUCACUCGACCACUCCGCCCUUCACUCCGCCGGACUCUCACCGUCGCCUCCUUUUCACUCGAUCUCGCCGCUCCAACUUCAACAUUCCUCACUCGAUCUCGCCUCCCAUUCACUCGACCGCAAGAGCACCUCAGCCUCUACUUCGAUCUCUUUCUCUCAACUCUCCGUUCUCACCGUUCACUCGACCUCGCCAUUCACUUCGCCUCCGUUCAUCUCUUCACUCGACCGCUCCUCAAACCGCCACCGUCUUCUCUCCAUUCGACAUUUACUCGGCCACACAGUCACCGUUUCUCAUUCUCUUCCACUCGACCACAAAAUUUGAACACACAAUUUGACUAUACUCGACCGGUUACUCGACCGUGAACUUGAUUGGUUUAGUGUUUGUGUUUAUUUGGACUAACAUAUUGAUAUUUGGUUUUAAGUUACAUUAUUUUUCAGGAAAUCAAUAUGAGUAACUACAGUGGCGAAUCCUCCAUGGAUGCAGAUUACAACGUCGAUGAAGCUGAAUCUUGGUCAACUGGACCAGAGAGAGAGCGACAGGCUUAUGAGAGCUUUAGAGCUGAGACCCAACGCUCAGUAGCUCGACGCAAUGAGAAGAGAGCUGAGAUUGCUAGAGAAAGAGAGCAAUGACCAGCAGAUAUGAGUUGAUCGACGAAGAUAUUGACGUCGAGUAUGAGCCUGAGUCAUGGCACAGAGAAACGAAGCUGUUGAACAAGCCUGAUGAACGACUUCUGGGGAACGAGGUACCCCUGUUAUGAGACUUUAGCAUAGCUGGGGCUACUGGAGGACGUACAUCACUUAUUCGAGAAGUGCCAUCUGGAGACGCUGAUGUCUUACCCGUACGUCGCUUACAAGAAGGAAACAAUAGAGUUUCUCUUCACUCUGCAAGUGGAGAUGUAUCAGGGACUUACAGCAGAUGAGCUGGAGAGUGAAGGGUUGGGGUUCUUGACUUUUUCAGUGAACGAGCAGCGUUACCAGCUAUCUAUCAAGAGCUUGGAAGGAUUAUUUGGUUUUCCCAGUGGAAAGGGAACUAAACCCAAGUUCGAGAGGGAAGAGUUGAAGGAUUUGUGGUUAACCAUUGGGAACGAUUUGGCGCUCAACUUUGCAAGGUCUAAGAGCAACCAGAUUCGUAGCCCUGUGAUCCGCUACUAUCAGCGCUCAGUAGCGAAUGUUCUGUACCCCAGGGAAUCUACAGGCACCGUGUUUAACACAGACAUGGAGAUGAUUGAUUCUCCACUCAAGGGCAUUCUCCGGAGAACAAAGGGGAAGAAGGUCCUAAAGGGCGACCUUAAUGAUGCACCACCGGUUAUGCUUCUGUUGAUCCACCUAUGUGGAUACAGGAAGUGGGCGCACACCAACGGGAAGAAGAAGGUGCGAGGAGCCCUUUGUGUAGGUGGCGUUGUGACACCGAUUCUGAUUGCAUGUGGUGUACCUCUCACGUCUCCAAGGUUUGAUCCGAGGAUGAUGGAUUUAGAUCACUUGCGUUGUUGUGAGUUUCUGGAGUAUGAUAUGGUUGGCGAUUUCUAUCGCUACAAAUUCGAGCACUCCCUGAUCCGAACAGCCAACAUUUUGCUUCCCUGCAUCGAGGCCACGACCAUACUUCAGGGUAGGAACAUUGACUUCAAACCUGCACGUGAUUACCUCUACUUUGAGAGCGCUCCACCGACUGAUGAUAAUGUCCCUACGACGGAAGCUAUAGAGGAUGAUAUUGCUGAGACGGAUGAGGAUAGGGAGGAGGAGUACGAUACGAGCAUGUAUCAUUUCAGAGAGCACGUACCUCCAGCGCGGGAGAGCAAGAGCUUGAGUGAAGCUCACAGAAACAACAGUAAGUUGCAGAGGUGGUGCAAGAAACAAGAUAGGCUACUCAUCAAGUGCUUCAAAGCCAUCACGUUUCUGACAGACAAGCUUAGCUGCUUCUCUUCUACCACAGCUAUUCCGCAGGGAGAGCGUCCUCAGGACAUGCCUUCGAGGAGAUAUGACGCGCCAGGGCCAAGUCAUCACAGGCCUGAGCCAAGUCACCACAAGCCUGAGCCUAGUGACCGAGUAGUCCCACCAGUCCCUGCAAGGCAUUCAUCAUUCGAGCCUCGGGAGCUCGGGAGAAAGAAGAAGGCUGCACUCGCUCGGUCUGGCAGCAGGAGUACACGACUUCUCCAGUCCCGUAGCUUACGCGACCGCGGUGCUGGCCGCAGCAGAAGAAGAGAGGUCGAGUAUCAUCAGAGCGGUGCUGGCCGCGACGAAGGAGCAGAGGUCGAGUACCCCCAGGGGGAAGCUGAGACACAGCAGGGAGAUUCUUCGAUGGCCUGGGAGCAAUCACAGGCAGCUAUUGGCGACCAACUUCGCUCCUUCUUCCACUGAGGUAUGCACCUCACUCCACCAUUGUAAUAUACCAUCUCUUGUUUUUAUUUUGUUUUUGUGAUGUGUUUUGUCCUAAGUACUCUCUUCCAAAUUUGGUCACACAGUGGACUGUGUGAUUUAAGUUUGGGGGAGGGCUCAGAAAGUGUGUAUUGCAUUGUAUAUAAUCUUGAGUCUGCAUUCAUCUAAGGCAUAGAAAAGAACCAAAAAAAUUGAAAAAUUUCAGAAAAUGAUUUCACAAAAAUAGAGUGUUCAUGUAGUUGCAUUGCAUUUAGGAUCGAGUCUAGAGUGUUUCGUUUAGGAUUGUUGCAUAUGCAUAGGGGAUAAUGAUGAGAUAGCCUUGUAAGCAUUUUGGUUCACCAGAUAAGCUCAGUGCCCUCGUUGUUAGUUGUUUGAUGCGUUGUCAUUGAAAUUGAAGUAAAACUGCACCAUGCCUAGAUUGCUCUACUCGACCACACUGUUAGGAUCUGAUAUCAUUCCCUAUCAAUUUGAACUUGAAUCUGAUUUAGAAUUAUCAUGUCUUGGCAUCGAAUUUGAACUCAUGGAUACCCUAAAAUACUUGGAUUUUCUUACUCCUUUUAACCACUCUUGUUGAUCCAAAUAGCUGACUCUCCUUAUUAGAGCAGUUAACCCGAACCCAAACAUGAACUUUCUUUCAAGCCCUAUAUCACUUGUGAGUGUUUGUGAGGUCUUAUUUCGAUUGAGCUUGGUAAAAAGUGUUAGCUUCGUAACGACAGAGAUAGUGUCUCAUGUAGUUCUAGUUCGCGUUCUUCGGACUGGAUAGGACUAGGUGGGCGCUUAUAUCAUGGGUUGGGAUGUCUUUAAAAGAAAAGGGUGAAUUUAUUGUUGAUAAGGAAAGGGAAAGAAUUCUAGGGGAAGUAAGCUAAAGAAGUUAGAAAAAAAUCUAGUAAAGGUUUUGGGAAUGUUAAAGAAAAGAAUGAGGUUCUUGUUAGCUAAAGAAGAAGGGUUAAAAGCCUUUGGUUUUAAAGAUUUAAAACAGGAACCUUAGUUGUUAAAGAAAUCCAAAUCCGCUAGAUGUAUCAGAGUGUUGAGAAAGCUUCUCCUAGAGUUAAGAGAAAAUAAAAGAAUGAUAUGAAAAAGAGUUUGAAAGAUUCAUGAGUGCAAAUGGUAGAGUUAAGUUGGGACAGGAGUUGGGAUUACCAUUAGAACUUCAUUGCUAUACUCUGGGUAGAUGGGAUCUUAUCUCUGUAUGCAUAACUUGGGACUUACCUUUAGCAUUCUACUAAAGCUCAAUCAUUCUUGAGGGAUCCCCUGUUACUUAAGCCUAUUCUGUAAGGGACCAUCUUUGUCUCUUGACCUUCACCUUAGCCAAAUGAGUUCAUUGAUGAUGCAUUGCUUGAUUCACGUUCCAGAACUAAUGAAUGUUAAAGGGAUUGGUAGAUUUGAAAGCAUGUGUAGGUCGAGUAUAAGAGACGGAUUGAUUGAUAACAAGGCAUGGCUAACGUUUUUGAGUAAAAUUCAAUCAUAUCGCAUCUUAGAACUACCAAUUUGGACAUUGAUUUUAUUUGCUCUAACAUAUGCUUUGGUUCUGAGUCCCCGCCUUCAAACCUCUCCUUCAACUAUGUCUUCUUAUUUGCUUGAGGGCAAGCAAAGACUAAGUUUGGGGGAGUUGAUAUGUCUAUAAUUUGCAUGUUUUCAGUGUCCAUUCAUCAUCGUUUUGAGUCCAGUUUCGUAUCAUUCAUCACUAUUUUAUAUCAUUUCUCAUCAUUCUUGCAUACUUUGCAUGAUUAGGAUAACUUUGCAUACAUAUUGCAUUUCUGAGUUGUUUUCAGGUGAUUUGGAGCUGUUUGCGAGCAAAUUGGAAGAAACGAGCCAGAACCAGAAGACAUACUCGACCCCCAGGUCGAGUGACUUUGGAGUCAUUCUUCCCACCUACUCGACCACUUGGUCGAGUAUCCUCAGCUCAGGCUACUCAAUGACACUACUCGAUCCCCUGGUCGAGUAUCACUUCGCCACACCACCUGACAACACUCGACCGUUCACUCUACCACAUCACUCGACCCCAUGGUCGAGUAUCACUUCGCCACACCACCUGACAACACUCGACCGUUCACUCUACCACAUCACUCGACCCCAUGGUCGAGUAUCACUUCGCCACACCAUCACCAUCACUCGACCGGACACUCGAUCACGUCUUCACAGUCUACUCAAAUCCGCACUCAACCAGACAAGCUGAGCACAAGGAAGAGAAGAGGAGAAGACAAAGUGUUUAGAAGCGGCUUGGACCUCCAUCGGAUCACGAAGCCCAUCUCGGCCCAUUAUCUUUCUAUGGGCCGGGUAAUUAGGUUAUUGGCCUGUUUACCAUCAUUUUAUUUUGUUUUGUAUUAAUAGAUGUCUUAGGGUUCUGUCCUGAGACAUCCAGUCGACAUUGAGUUUUUGCUUCAGUUUUAUUUCUGUUUUACUUUGCUGCGCCGCUUUUGCUUCUACAACCUGUAAUUCGAGACUUUUCCAAGUUAUUCAGAUUCCGCUUUUGAUUUCAUCUGUCAUCUUGUUUCUAUACUCUUUAUCUCUUUACUUAUGCAAUAUUAUCGUUUACCUGCGUUUAUGUCUUUAAGCAUGUUGUCUGAGUAGUGACUUAGAAUUAUUAGGGAUGGGAUAGAGUAGUUGUGGAAUCCGUAGUCUGUAGAAUGGUUAAGUUUUAGAAUUGAUUGUAUCCCUUUAGAACUAGUUGUGUUUACUGCUUAUUUUUUUCUGAUCAACUGGAAUUCGAUCCCAAGCAUUCCCGCACCCAGAAGGUGUUCGAUGGAAUGCUUGAUCCACUAGUUCCUGAGAUAUGCGUCUCUAUCCCAAGGGAUUGGCCGUUUAGAGCGUUUAUUGACUUUAUCAGUCUGUUCUUAUUGCUUGCAUAGUUAGAUUCCGUUAAUGGGAAUUAGUCUAGGCUAGCUUUGCUUGAGGAUUUCUAUCACGGGAGUGAAUUAAUCUGUUGUUGAACCUGUUGUCUAGGGAUAGCUUGAUUGCGCUUGUUAACCAUUCUAAUAGGCUAGGAUACCACUCUACUCGAUUACCCCAUCCUUAGGAGUUUCUUGUCUAUCUUAUUUCUCUGUUUUAUCGUUAUCGCUUAAUCGUUCUCAUUGCCUGUUUCUUAGUUUUUGUAAUUACUCGACCAACAUACUCGACCACACCCAGUGUCUGGCAACAGACUGUGCAGUGGAGUGCAGUUGUUUCAUUUCCUGUUUGUUACUCGACCAGUAUACUCGACCACACCUAGUGUCUGGCAACAGACUGUGCAGUCGAGUAUAUCUGUUUCAUAUCCUGCCUGUUACUCGACCACAUCCUACUCCUGGCAUCAGCCUGUUGUGGUCGAGUGAUUUUAGUAAUUCUGUUAUUGUUUCUGUUUUCUACAUGUUCACUUAGGACUGUUAGAAACCCCAAAACCGUUAUUGAUUGGCUUGACUUAGUGACUUCUCAUCACAUCUCAUUUGUCUGCAUCACACCCAUUUGGAUUGACACCUAAAAUACUACAAUGACAUGAUUGGUGUUUUAGGAUAAUUGACCAUAAAAACCUAUUAUCAGAAACUUAUCCCAAAAUUUAAAGUAGUGUUUCCAUGCUAGAAGAUACAAAGCAAAAGAUUCAUAAGGACUUCGACAUCACCAUCAAAGCCUUAGGAAGCAUGAAGAAGCUUGGUUAUUGUUUUGGAGACAAAUAUGACUAGAUGACAUGUGUAUGAUUGAGUAUAAGAACUCGAACCGCAACCGGAUCUUGAAAGUCCAAGUAGUGUUUCCUUAUUAGAAGGUACAAAGACAAAGACUCAUACGGACUUUGGGUACACCAUCAAAACUUUGGGAAGCAAGAAGAAGCCUGGUUAUUGUUUUGGAGUCAAAUAUGACUUGAUGUCAUGUGUAUGAUGGAGUAUCAGGACAAGAAUUGCAAUCGGAUCUUUAAAGCCUAAGUAGUGUUUCCUUGUUAGAAGAUACAAGCCAAUGAAUCAUACGGACUUUAGCUACACCAUCAAAGCUUUGUGAAGCAAGAAGAAGCUUAGUUAGUGUUUUAGAGUCAAAUAUGACUUGAUGUCAUGUGUAUGAUUGAGUAUACGAACUAGAACCACAACCGGAUCUUAAAACCCAAAUUAGUGUUUCCUUGUUAGAAGAUACAAAGCUAAAGACUCAUGUGGACUUUGGUAAUACUAUUAAAGCGUUGAGAAUCAAUAAGAAGCUUGGUUAGUGUUUUGGAGUCAAAUAUGACUAGAUGUCAUGUGUAUGAUUGAGUAUAAAAACUGGAACUGCAACCCGAUCUUAAAACCUAGUUAGUGUUUCCCUUUUAGAAGAUACAAAGCCAAAGACUCAUACGGACUUCAGCUACACCAACAAAGCUUUGAGAAGCAAGAAGAAACUUGGUUAGUGUUUUCGAGUCAAAUAUGACUUGAUGUCAUGUGUAUGAUUGGGUAUAAGAACUAGAACCGCAACCGGAUCUUAAAAGCCUAAGUAGUAUUUAGAAGAUACAAAGCCAAACAUUCAUACGGACUUUGGUUACACCAUUAAAGCUUUGUGAAGCAAGAAGAAGCUUUGUUAGUGUUUUGGAGUCAAAUAUGACUAGAUGUCAUGUGUAUGAUUGAGUAUAAAAACUGGAACUGCAACCCGAUCUUAAAAGCCUAGUUAGUGUUUCCUUGUUAGAAGAUACAAAUCCAAAAACUCAUACGGACUUCAGCUACACCAACAAAGCUUUGCGAAGCAAGAAGAAACUUGGUUAGUGUUUUCGAGUCAAAUAUGACUUGAUGUCAUGUGUAUGAUUGGGUAUAAGAACUAGAACCGCAACCGGAUCUUAAAAGCCUAAGUAGUAUUUGUUUUUUAGAAGAUACAAAGCCAAACAUUCAUACGGACUUUGGUUACACCAUUAAAGCUUUGAGAAGCAAGAAAAAGCUUGGUUAUUGUUUUGGAGUCAAAUAUGCCUAGAUGUCAUGUGUAUGAUUGAGUACAAGAACUCGAACCGCAACUGGAUCUUGAAAGCCCAAGUAGUGUUUCCUUGUUAGAAGAUACAACGCCAAUGACUCAUACGGAUUUCGGCUACACCAUCAAAUCUUUGAGAAGGAACAAGAAUCUUGGUUUGUGUUUUGGAGUUAGAUAUAAAUUGAUGUCAUGUCUAUGGUUGAGUAUUAGAACUUGAACCGCAAACGGAUCCGAAAAGGAAAAGUAGAGUUUCCAUGCGAGAAGAUACAAAGCCAAAGACUCAUACGGACUUCGACAUCACCAUCAACGCCUUAGGAAGCCAGAAGAAGCUUGGUUAGCUUUUUGGAGUCAAAUAUGACUAGAUGACAUGUGUAUGAUUGAGUAUAAAAACUCAAAUCGCAACCGGAUCUUGAAAGCCCAACUAGUGUUUGUUUGUUAGAAGAUACAAAGCCAAAUACUCAUACGGACUUUGGCUACACUAUCAAAGCUUUGAAAAGCAAGAAGAGGCUUAGUUAGUGUUUUAGAGUCAAAUAUGACUUGAUGUCAUGUGUAUUAUUGAGUAUAAGAACUAGAACCACAACCGGAUCUUAAAAGCCUAAGUAGUGUUUCCUUGUUAGAAGAUACAAAGCCAAUAAAUCAUGCGGACUUUAGCUACACCAUCAAAGCUUUGUGAAGCAAGAAGAAGCUUAGUUAGUGUUUUAGAGUCAAAUAUGACUUGAUGUCAUGUGUAUGAUUGAGUAUAACUAGAACCACAACCGGAUCUUAAAACCCAAAGUAGUGUUUCUUUGUUAGAAGAUACAAAGCUAAAGAUUGUUGUGGACUUUGGUAACACUAUUAAAGCGUUGGGAAUCAAGAAGAAGCUUGGUUAGUGUUUUGGAGUCAAAUAUGACUAGAUUUCAUGUGUAUGAUUGAGUAUAAAAACUAGAACUGUAACCCGAUCUUAAAAUCCUAAGUAGUGUUUCCUUGUUAGAAGAUACAAAGCCAAAGACUCAUACGGACUUCAGCUACACCAACAAUGCUUUGAGAAGAAAGAAGAAGCUUGGUUAGUUUUUUGGAAUCAAAUAUGACUUGAUUUCAUGUUUUUGAUUGGGUAUAAGAAGUAGAACCGCAACCGGAUCUUAAAAGCCUAAGUAGUAUUUCUUUUUUAGAAGAUACUCUAGUUUAGAGAUGUGUUUCUAGUUUAGAGAUGUGUUUAAGAACUCAAAGUAAAGAAUAACUCUCUUUAAUCUCUUUAGGAAAAUUACUCAAAACCUAAAGCUAUUGAUCUCUUCACAAUCUCUAAAAACCCAUAAGGUUAACCACAACUUGGUAACUCUUAUAUAGAGAUCAAUAGAUAAUUCUAGAAUAAACAUUUAGAUUAAUAUUAGAUAACUCCUAAUAAUAUCUUUAGGUAAUGAUAUGUCUAUAAUUUGCAUGUUUUACACAUCUUUUUAUCACCAUUUUGAGUCUAGUUUCAUCCAUCUUUCAUAGCAUUUGAUAAUAGGUUUUUAAUUAAUUAAACCUAAAGCACUAUCAUGUCGUUGUAAUACUGAAGGUUGUCAAUCCAAAUGGGUGUGAUGCUAACAAUCAAGAUGUGAUCAGAAGUCACUAAGUCAAGCCAAGCAAUAACAGGUUGUGGUGUGUUCUAGCAGUUCUAAGUGAACAUGGAGAAAAUAGAAAUUCAAGCAGAAACAGUAAAACACUCGACCAACACAGCUCUUUGCAGAGCACUGGGUGAGGUCGAGUGACAGGUCGAGUAACAGACAGAAAAUAAAAUACAGAUACUCGACUGCACAGUCUGUUACCAGACAAUUGGGUGGUCGAGUAACAAGAAAGAACUGCAGAAAUUACGCGACAGAUAACAAGAUGCAGUAAAUAACAGUGGAGUAAACACAGAAUUCAAUCAGAUAAAGAAUUCCUGAGGAUGGGGUAAUUGAGUAGUUUCGUUUCCUCAGUUUACAGGUGAUUGACAUGCUCAAUAAAUUAACCCUAGACAACAAGUUCAUUAACCAAAUCUAAGUGCCACCGCAACAGAGACUCUCAAGUUAACCUAGUCCCAGACUCAAUCACCAUUGACGAGAGAUAACCUAACAGGCAUUACGAAUCAACAAGUUAAAGCCAAAACGCUCCUUGCAACCAAUACCUUGGUACAGGGUCACGAAACUCUGGAAUUAGUGGUUCAGACAUUUCAUCGAACACCUUUUGGGCGCGGAAAUGUCUGGGCUCAAAUUCCAGUUGAUCAGAAAGCAAUAGGGAUUAAGAACAACUAAUCCAGAAGGGAUAUAUCAACCAAUACUCAAUCACCUAGCAUAUUGAGAAUUCUACACUACUCUAACCCAUCCUCAGAAACCUAUUCACUACUCAGACAUCAUAACAGUAAGCAUAAACGUUGAACAAGUUGAAAACAUGAUAACAACUGUGUAACAACAAGAUGAUAACAGAAUGAACAACAGUAAACGAAAUCAAGAACAAAAGCUGAAUACUGAAUACUAAAUAGAUAAAGAGAAAUCUGGAUUACAAAAGGUCUAGAACACAAGGUCUACGGAAUAAAACUAGAUAAAAACUUGUCUGCCAAAAUGUGAAGUACAUGCUACUUACAGCCAAAUAUUCCGAAACCCUAAUACUUAAAACGACGCAGUAUUGGGACGGAUUAAGAACUGUACUCGACCCAUGUGGUCGAGUGGGAGGUCGAGUGAAUAGCUGGAGUCUUCUUUUCUUCCUUGUGCUCGAGUGUCUGGUUGAGUGCGGAAUGAAGAAGGCUCUGAAGCUUGUCAUCGAGUAUGUAGUCGAGUGGUGGUGAUGGUGAUACUCGACUUCCACGUAGAGUGAAGAGGUCAAGUAGUGGUCUGGCAAUGAAGGUGAAGACACUCGGCCUCAGGGUCGAGUGACGUGAUCGAGUGAUGGUCAGGUGAUGGGAUGAAGACACUCGACCUCGUGGUCGAGUGAUGUGGUGAAGUAGUGAUGUCCUCUACUCGACCAGGGGGUCGAGUGAUCUGUUGAGAUCUUGAAGCUCCUAAUCGACCUCGGGGUCAAGUCGUUUGAUAUGAUCAGGCCCGCUUCUUCCAGAUAGCUUGUCAACAGCUCCAAAUCACCUGAAAUCAACGCAAAUAUGCAACAUGCAUGCAAAUCUAUCCAAAAAUUGUAAAGUGAUGACAAAUGAUGAGAAAUUGUAUAAAACAGUGAUGAUAUGAUGCUAAAGUGAUGACAAAUGGAUGCUCAAAACAUGCAAAAUACACACUUAUCAGCAUUCACCAUCAUUUUCAUACAUUUUGCAUCUUAAGUCGAGUCUAGGACUAGUCUUGCAUACAUUCUGCAUUCUGGAGUUGUUUCAGGUGUUUUGGAGCUAUUGGUGCUCAGAAAGAGGGAAAACAAAACAGAAAGUCACACUUCCACCAAACAUACUCGAUCACCAGUAGCAGAGAGGGAAGCAGUCAGCUCAGUAGUCCAUCCAGACACUUCUACUCGAUCACAGAGGAGACCAGGCAGUCCAUUCUGCCAGAUAUACUCGACCGUAGAGGAGAGGAGGCAGUCCAUUCUGCAAUUCUACUCUAUCGCAGAGGCAACCAUGCAGUCCACUUUGCCAGUCCACCAGUUAUACUCGAUCGCAGAGGAGAAGAACCAGUACAUCCUGACAGCUGACACACUUACUCGAUCACAGAGGCCAAGAAGCAGCCCAGAUCAUUCUGUCAACCAACCUACUCGACCACCACCUCGACCCUCUGAUCAAUCCGCACUCAACCAGAUAACCUGAGCAUCGGAAAGAGAAGAGAAGAGAAGAGAAGGCCCAUUCGAAACCCAUUCAAAGCCCAUCAGGAAGCCCACUUUGAGCCGACACUCUUGAUCACGCCGUCCAUGGGCCGUUAAGUGGGCUCGAAGCCGAGUUAACAUCUACAGGUCACCAAGUUUACUCGACCAUGGAGGCAUCCCAACUGCCCGUUUUCACUCGAUCACCAAGGCGACACUUUAGACCAUUUCUCAGACCAAUAUACUCGACCGUCGGACCAAACGUCAUGUGAACCCUGCGAUCGAGUAUCAUGCACCAGAGGAGGAGGAACAACAACAAGGUCCCAGUAUUCCAUGGGAUUACACCAGAGAGGAGAUGGCACACACAACCAUCAUUGUAUAUACCAUUUUCUGUUUUCGUUUUGUUUUAGUGUCUCUUGAACUCUUCUUUAGACUUCUAUUACACAAGGGACUGUAUAGUUUAAGUUUGGGGGAGGAUUCAAGAAGUAUUUAACAUGUUUGCUAGUGAGUCUUAUUUGCAUCAUUUGAGUCUUAACUUCAUCUAAGACAUAGAAAAAAAAUAAAAAAAAAAUGAAAACAUUUCUGAAAAUGUAUUCCACAAAAACAGAGUGUUCAUAUAGUUGCAUCACAUUUAGGAUUGAGUCUAGGAUGUUUCAUAUAGGAUUGUCGCAUAUGCAUUGGGGAUUAUGAUGAGAUAGCCUUGUAAGCAUUUUUGUUCAUCGUUUCUAGUUGUCUGAUGUGUAGUCAAUGAAAUUGAAGUAAAACUGCACCAUGUCUUGAAUGCUCUACUCGAUCACACUGUUAUUAUCUGAUACCAUUCCCUAUCAAUUUGAACCUGAAUCUGACUUGCAAUUAUCAUGUCUUAGCAUCGAAUUUGAACUCAUGGAUACCAUAUACAUACUUGGGUUUUCUUUAAACUUUUCACCACCCUUGCUAACCCAAGUAGCUGCUUCCAUCAUUGAAGUAGUUUCCCUUGCCCUUAACCAAACCUUUCUUUCGAGCCCUGUUAUAUAUCGUGUGCGAUUGUGAGGCCUGUUUCAGGAUUGAGCUUGGAAGAAAGUGUUAGGUUUGAGCCGACAAGAGUAGUGUCUCAUGUAGUUCUAGUCCACGUUUUCUGGGCUAGAUAGGACAAGGUGGGUGUCUAUUCUUGAAGUGGGGAUCGAGUAUAUGAGAAAAUAAGAGAGAAAGGAAAUGUUGAUGUUCUUAGGAGAAGGAAGUUGAGAAACAAGUUAGUCUAGUAAUGGAUUUUGGGGAACUAAAAAAAAAAUAGGCUCACAACAAAAGAAAAAAAGUCUAGAAAAGUCUUGAUCACAAGAAGAUAACAUGAGCCAUAGUUGUCAAAGAAAACCAAAGUCCACUAGAUCCAACAAAGUAAAAGAAACUUCUCCUUAGAAUAAGAGUCAAAGAAAAGAAAGAGUGGUUUGAUCCAAGAUAAGAAUGAGAAAAAAAUGCCUUGAGUGCAAAGGGUAGAACUAGGAUCAUAUUCUGGGCUUAAGGGUAGUACCAUCUGCUGGUGUAUACACUGUGUAUGUUUUUGGGUAGAUGGGAUACUAUUCUUGUAUGCAUAGGUUGGCUCUUACCUUUAGCAUUCUCCUAAAGCUCAGUCCAUUUCUUUUCAGAGUCCCCUGUUACUAAACUUGAACCACCAGAAAGGGACCAUCUGUGUCUCUUGACCUUCACCUUAGCCAAAUGAGUUCAUUGAUGAUGCAUAGCUUGAUUCACGUUCCUAAUCUAAUGAAUGUUAAAGGGAUUGGUAGAUUUGAAAGCAUGUGUAGGUCGAGUAUAAGAGUGGGAUUGAACUAUAAUAAGGCAUGGCUAACGUUUUUGAGUAGAGUUCGAUAAUAUGGCAUCCUAGAACUGCCAACUUGGACAUUGAUUCUAUCUGAUUUAUUUGAUGCUUUGGUUCUGAAUCCCCACCUUCAAACCUCUCCUUCAGCUUAUGUCUACUUGUUUGCUUGAGGGCAAGCAAAGACUAAGUUUGGAGGAGUUGAUAUGUGUAUAAUUUGCAUGUUUUACACAUCCUUUAAUCACCAUUUUGAGUCUAGUUUCAUCCAUCUUUCAUAGCAUUCACCAUCAUUUUCGUACAUUUUGCAUCUUUAGUCGAGUCUAGGACUAAUCUUGCAUACAUUCUACAUUCUGGAGUUGUUUCAGGUGUUUUGGAGCUAUUGGUGCUCAGAAAGAGGGAAAACAGAACAGAAAGUCACACUUCCACCAAACAUACUCGAUCACCAGUAGCUGAGAGGGAAGUAGUCAGCUAAGCAGUCCAUCCAGACACUUCUACUCGAUCAUAGAGGAGACUAGGCAGUCCAUUCUGCCAGAUAUACUCGACCGCAGAGGAGAGGAGGCAAUCCAUUCUACAAUUCUACUCUAUCGCAGAGGCGACCAUGCAGUCCACUUUGCCAGUCCACCAGUUAUACUCGAUCGUAGAGGUGAAGAACCAGUACAUCCUGACUGCUGACACACUUACUCGAUCACAGAGGCCAAGAAGCAGCCCAGAUCAUUCUGUCAACCAACCUACUCGACCACCACCUUGACCCUCUUAUCAAUCCGCACUCAACCAGACAACCUGAGCAUCGAAAAGAGAAGAGAAGAGAAGGCCCAUUCGAAGCCCAUUCGAAACCCAUUCGAAGCCCAUCAAGAAGCCCACUUUGAGCCGACACUCUUGAUCACGCCGUUCAUGGGCCGUUAAGUGGGCUCGAAGCCCGCUUUCUUAUUUUAGUAUAAAUAAGUCUCUAAGGGUUUCGCCCUGGGACAUGCACUUUUAGAGACACGAAUUUUGCACUAUUAUUCAGCAGCCGCUUUUCAUUCCUGCAAUUUUAUAUUUCGAUUUUUCUUCUAAGUCAUUCAGAUUUUGCUUUCAUUUGCUUGUUCAUCUUUCGUUUCUAUGUUAUUGUCUUUAAGCAUGUUGUCAGAGUAGUGACUCAGAAUUCUUAAGGAUGGGUUAGAGUAGUUGUGGAAUCCGUAGUCUGUAGAAUGGUUAAGUCUUAGAAUUGAUUGAAUCCCUUCAGGACUAGUUGUGUUUACUGCUUAUUUCUUUCUAAUCAACUGGAAUUCGAUCCCAAGCAUUCCCGCACCCAGAAGGUGUUCUAUGGAAUGCUUGAUCCACUAGUUCCUGAGAUAUUCGUCUCUAUCCCAAGGGAUUGGCCGUUUAGAGCGUUUAUUGACUUUAUCAGUCUGUUCUUAUUGCCUGCAUAAUUAGAUUCCGUUAAUGGGAAUUAGUCUGGGCUAGCUUUGCUUGAGGAUUUCUAUCAAGGGAGUGAAUUGAUCUGUUGUUGAACCUGUUGUCUAGGGAUACCUUGAUUGCGCUUGUUAACCAUUCGGAUAGGCUAGGAUACCACUCUAUUCGAUUACCCCAUCCUUAGGAAUUUCUCGUCUAUCUGAUUUCUCUGUUUUAUCGUUAUCGCUUAUUCGUUCUCAUUGCCUGUUUCUUCGUUUUUGCAAUUACUCGAUCAACUUACUUGACCACACCCAGUGUCUGGUAACAGACUGUGCAGUCGAGUACAGUUGUCUCAUUUCCUGUCUGUUACUCGACCAGAAUACUCGACCACACCCAGUGUCUGGCAACAGACUAUGCAGUCAAGUAUAUCUGUUUCAUAUCCUGUCUGUUACUCGACCACAUCCUACUUCUGGCAUCAGCCUGUUGUGGUCGAGUGAUUUUAGUAAUUCUAUUAUUGUUUCUGUUUUCUGCAUGUUCGCUUAGGACUGUUAGAAACCCCAAAACUGUUAUUGCUUGGCUUGACUUAGUGACUUUUGAUCACAUCUCAUCUGUUUGCAUCACACCCAUUUGGAUUGACACCUAAAAUACUACAACGACAUGAUUGGUGUUUUAGGAUAAUUGACCAUAAAAAACUACUAUCAGAUAACUCCCAAAGAUUUAAUCUAAUCCUUCUCAAAACUAAAUAACUUAUUUCUUAAGUAAUACUCAAGCUUACUCCAACAAUCUCCCCUUUAAGCUUGAGAUCACUCCUCUUCACUUCUUGAACACCCAUAAGAUCUCUCAUCUCUUUAAACUUCAUUCUCCCAAGUGCUUUAGUUAGGAUGUCUGCCUUUUGCUCAUUCCCCGGAACAUGCUCUACUUCCACUUGUCCAUUUUCGACGCAUUCUCUUAUGAAGUGGUAACGCCUAUGAAUGUGCUUGCUUCAGCCAUGGAAGACCGGAUUCUUGGUAAGGGCGAUUGCUGAUUUGUUGUCGAUUCUUAUGAGCACCUUCUCGCUUGGUUCUCCUAUAACUUCACUAAGCAAGUCUUGAAGCCAAAUUGCUUGCCUAGCUGCUUCUGUUCCUGCCAUAAACUCUGCUUCACAUGAGGACAUUGCCAUUGUUUCUUGUUUCUGUGAACACCACGAGAUGGGACUCUCUCCAAGGUAGGAAAUGUGACCGGCUGUACUCUUGCCAUCAUCAGGAUCAACAUUGUGGUUGCUGUCACUAUAGCCUACUAGCUUUGGUAUCUUUUCACUUGAUCGUUUAAAUACCAAACCGAGUGUAGUCGUACCUUUCAAGUACCUCAAACAUUGUCUCAUUGCAGCACCAUGUGAUUCAUUUGGAUCUUGCAUGUAUCGACUUAACACUCCCACGCAAAAGGACAGAUCCGGUCUUGUAUGAAUUAAAUAGCGAAGGCAACCAACUUUUUUCCUGUAUCCGGUAGCAUCAAUUCCUUCUUCAUGAUGUGAUUUGGACAAUUGCAAACCAGAUUCCAUUGGUAUGUGCAUCAAGUUACAGUCCUUCAUCCCAGCGUCUUCUAAAAUCUUCAUUGCAUAUCGGUGUUGACUUAGUGUGAUUCCUUGCUCUUGUUGACAGACUUCUAUUCCAAGAUAGUACGUCAAUUUUCCAAGAUCACUCAUCUCGAACUUAGAAGCCAUCUCUCUCUUGAAUCCACUAAUACUUCUUUCAUCUGUUCCGGUUAUGAAAAGGUCAUCUACGUACACUACCACAAGAAGAAAAAUAUUCCCACUUACAGUUUUACGAUAUACUGAUGGUUCUUUGGAACACUUCUCGAAUUGUAGUUCUGUAAGAAUCUGAUUCAGCUUAUGGUUCCAUGCUCUCGGUGCUUGUCGUAAUCCAUACAAAGCUUUGUGAAGCCUAUAGACUUUCCCUUCCUAUCCUCUUUCUUCGAAUCCUUCUGGUUGUGUCACAUACACGGUUUCUCUUAGUUCUCCAAGGAGAAAUGCUGUCUUGACAUCAAGAUGGUGUAUCUCCCAACCAUUUGAUGCUGCAAGGUUCACAAGUAGUCGUUUGGUUUCAAGGCGAGCUACGGGAGCGAACACUUCUUCAAAGUCCACUCCAUAGCGCCAAAACGUAACCUUUCGCGACCAAUCGAGCCUUGUAUUUGUUGAUGCUCCCGUCCGAGUUGCGUUUGAGUUUAAAAACCCACUUUAGACCUAUACGUUUAACUCCAUGCGGCAGAUCUUCAAGACUCCAUGUCUUAUUCUUUGUUAUUGAAAACAUCUCUUCUUCACACGCAAGUGUCCACUCUCUGGACUCCUUAGCCUCACUGAAACUGCUCGGUUCGUUAUUCAAUAUUAGAAGUAGCCUUUCUCCUUCUUCUUCUACAAGUAAUGCAUAGUCUUCAAGGUACUUUGGUCUUAUGGUUUGUCUUUGCGAUCUUCUUAGAUUAGGUUGUUGACUUUCUGUUCCAAGAUCAGCAGAGACUUCUUCAUUUUCUGCAAAGGUUUCAUGAUCAUGUUGUUCUUCAUUCACGUGAAUAGGCUGUGUUUGCUCUGUCUCACCAUAUUCGUUGUCUUCUUCUUGUAGACCAUGAUUCCCGAAUUCUCCAAGUGUGACACUGAAGCUUCCAUCUUGUUUAGGUUCGUUGUGAUUCCAAUCCCAUCCUUUUUCUUCAUCGAAUACAACAUCUCUACUCACCACAAUUUUCCGAUUUACUGGGUCAAGUAGACGAUAUGCCUUUGAACCCGGCUCAGUACCUAGAUGAACUAGCUUUCUCGACCUGUCAUCUAGUUUCCUCAAGUGUGGUGUCUCCACUUCUGCGUAUCCAAUGCAGCCAAAUACUGUGAGAUGAUUCACGUUUGGUUUCUUUUGGUAGAAAGCUUCAUAUGGAGUGUUGUCAUUCAACGAUCUUGUAGCUAUCCGGUUCAGCAGGUAGGUGGCGUGUCAUACUGUUUCUCCCCAUAAGUAACUAGGUAUAUGCAUGUGUUUCAUGACACUCCUUGUCAUUUCCAUUAGAGUUCUGUUUCUUCUUUCAAAUACACCAUUCUGUUGUGGUGUAUAUGGAGCAGUAAGAUGUCUUUUAAUACCCGAUUCUUCACAAAACUUAGUGAACUCAUGUGAUACAAACUCUCCUCCUCUGUCUAUUCUGAAAGUCUGAAUUUUGCUUCCAGAUUCUUGUUCAACUAAGACCUUGAAGCGCUUGAAUUUAUUGAGAGCAUCACUUUUCUCCUUAAGUAGAGUUGUCCACAUGUAUCUAGAAUGAUCAUCAAUAAUGACAAAGAUGUACCUGUUUCCUGCAGCUGUGCUUGGUGUUAUAGGACCACAUAAGUCUCCAUGAACGAGUUCAAGUAUCUUGGUGGCUCUGUAUGAGGUUGCUUGCGGGAAAAAUUGCCUUGAUUGCUUCCCAAACAAACAUGAAUCACAAACUUCUUUUUCGAUCUUAACGUGUGGGAUCCCUCUUACUAGCUCCUUUUGUAUCAUUGACUUGAUUGUGUCGAGAUUUAUGUGUCCCAAUCUUGAAUGCCAUCUACUUGAUUCGCUGAGGUUUGUUAGAUAUAGACACAUUGUUCCUCUUUUUGCCAUCCGAACCUUAUUAAGUCGAUUCUUUGAUCUUGUUGCUUUGACAAGUAAUUUUCCCUCUCGGUCAUGCAUUGUUAGAAUGUCAUCCUUCAUUCUUAUGUCACAGCCUGAUUCUCUAGCUUGUCCCAAGCUAAUGAUGUUGCUUUUUAAAUCUGGAAUGAAAUAGACAUCUGACAUUUUUCUUUGUUCGCCAUUCCUGUCAAAAAACGAGAUCGUUCCUUUCCCUUUGAUAUCAAUCCGUGAAUCAUCGCCAAAGCGUACUUUCCCGGUGAUAGAAUUAUCUAUACUAGUGAAGUAUCUUUGAUCUCCUGUCAUGUGGUUACUUGCUCCGUUAUCGAGAUACCAAACAUCAUUCUCUCCAUUGUUAGUUUCAUAGUUGCUUGGAAUACAAUUCUUCUCAUUUAGAUACACAACUUCGUGAACCAUGAGUUCAUCUGCAGUUUGUGUAUCGUCUUUCUCGUUCUCUUGGGCUUCCUGCAACUUGAAAAGACGAUUCGGGCAGUCAGAGGCGUAGUGACCUAAUUUGUCACAUCUAUAGCAAGUUACUUUGGAUGUAUCUCUUCCACCAUUCGACCUUCCUUGUCCUCUUCCUCUGUAAUAAGAGCGUCCUCCUCGACCUCUUCCUCUGUAGCAGUUGUUGUACUCUUGAUUUGUUUGGUAAUCUUGAUUAGUAUACAACAACUUGCUUUGAUCUUCUUGUGGUUCUUCAUCAUCUACCACUCGUUCUUCAUAUACUUUCAUUCGUCCUACAAUGUCUUCAAAUCCGUUUGUGUUAAGAUCAAGAACUUGUUCGAGUGAUGCAACUAUGUGAAUGAAUUUCUUUCGAGGCAGACUUGAGAGAAACUUCUUCACUAGUUUUGGUUCUUCGAUUUGAACUCCUAAAGCUGCAGAUUUGGAUGCAAUUUCUGCUAACUUUCCUACAAAAUCAUCAAUCUUCUCAAUAUCCUUCAUCUUCAAGCGAUCAAAGUCAUUCAUUAGAGUCUGUAGUCUCGCUUCUCUAACUCGUUCUGCUCCCACGUUCCUCGACCGAAUAGCUUCCCAAACCUUCUUUGCUACUUUAAAUUCUCCAAUUUGCAAAGCUAGGGAUUCGGGUAUGGAUUGAAUCAUUAAAGCUAUAGCCAUGAUGUUCUUGUCUGCAUCAACGGGUUCUGUUGACUCUGUUUCAAUAGCUUCCCAGACUUUGUGUACUUGAAGAGCAAUCUCCAUCUUCAUAGCCCAUGCCGUGUAAUUUGUUUGAGUUAGCAUAGGGCAUUGGAUCGAAGAAGUUCCUCCUCCUUCUUUUGGUUUCGUUCCCGACGUAACUAUUUUGCUCAUAUCUUCUCCUUACAAAUUCUUCUUUAUGGUCUCAAGAUUUGUAAGCUCUGAUACCAAUUGUAGUUUAGAGAUGUGUUUAAGAACUCAAAGUAAAGAAUAACUCUCUUUAAUCUCUUUAGGAAAAUUACUCAAAACCUAAAGCUAUUGAUCUCUUCACAAUCUCUAAAAAACGAUAAGGUUAACCACAACUUUGGUAACUCUUAUAUAGAGAUCAAUAGAUAAUUCUAGAAUAAACAUUUAGAUUAAUAUUAGAUAACUCCUAAUAAUAUCUUUAGAUAACUCCCAAAGAUUUAAUCUAAUCCUUCUCAAAACUAAAUAACUUAUUUCUUAAGUAAUACUCAAGCUUACUCCAACAGAUACAAAGCCAGACAUUCAUACGGACUUUGGUUACACCAUUAAAGCUUUGAGAGGCAAGAAGAAGCUUGGUUAGUUUUGGAGUCAAAUAUGCCUAGAUGGCAUGUGUAUGAUUGAGUACAAGAACUCGAACCGCAACUGGAUCUUGAAAGCCCAAGUAGUGUUUCUUUGUUAGAAGAUACAACGCCAAUGACUCAUACGGACUUCGGCUACACCAUCAAAGCUUUGAAAAAUCUUGGUUUAUGUUUUGGAGUUAAAUAUAAAUUGAUGUCCUGUCUGUGGUUGAAUAUUAGAACUUGAACCGCAAACGGAUCUGAAAAGGAAAAGUAGUGUUUCCAUGCUAGAAGAUACAAAGCCAAAGACUCAUACGAACUUCGACAUCCCCAUCAAAGCCUUAGGAAGCCAAAAGAAGCUUAGUUAGUUUUUUGGAGUCCAAUAUGACUAGAUUGCAUGUGUAUGAUUGAGUAUAAAAACUCAAACCGUAACCAGAUCUUGAAAGCCCAAGUAGUGUUUCUUUGUUAGAAGAUACAAAGCCAAAUACUCAUACGGACUUCGGCUACACCAUCAAGAAGCAAGAUGAAGCUUGGUUAGUGUUUUGGAGUCAAAUAUGAAUUGAUGUCCUGUGUAUGAUUUAGUAUAAGAACUAGAUUGGCAACCGGAUAUUGAAAGCCCAAAUAGUGUUUUCUUGUUAGAACAGACAAAGCUAAUGACUCAUACGGACUUCGGCUUCACUAUCAAAGCUUUGAGAAACAAGAAGGGGCUUAGUUAGUGUUUUAGAGUCAAAUAUGACUUGAUGUAAUCUGUAUGAUUGAGUAUAAGAACUAGAACCACAACCGGAUCUUAAAAGUCUAAGUAGUGUUUCCUUGUUAGAAGAUACAAACCAAAGACUCAUACAGAUUUUCGAUUACACCAUUAAAACUUUGAGAAGCAAGAAGAAUCUUGGUUAGUGUUUUGGAGUCAAAUAUGACCAGACGACAUUUGUAUGAUUUAGUAUAAGAACUCGAACUACAACCUAAUCCCGAAAGCCCAAAUAGUGUUUCCUUGUUAGAACAUACAAAGCCAAUGACUAAUACAGAUUUUGAUUACACCAUUAAAACUUUGAGAAGCAAGAAGAAUCUUGGUUAGUGUUUUGGAGUCAAAUAUGACAAGAUGGCAUGUCUAUGAUUUAGUAUAAAAACUCGAACUACAACCAGAUCUUGAAAGCCCAAGUAGUGUUUCCUUGUUAGAAGAUACAAAGCCAAAUUCUCAUACGGACUUUGGUUAAACCAUCAAAGCUUUGAGAAGCAAGAAGAAGCUUGGUUAGUGUUUUGGAUCAAAUAUCACUUGAUGUCAUGUGUAUGGUUAAGUAUUUGGACUAGAUCUUGAAACUUAUCCCAAAAGCAAAAGUAGUGUUUCCAUGCUAGAAGAUACAAAACAAAAGAUUCAUACGGACUUUGACAUCACCAUCAAAGCCUUAGGAAGCAUGAAGAAGCUUGGUUAUUGUUUUGGAGUCAAAUAUGACUAGAUGACAUGUGUAUGAUUGAGUAUAAAUACUCAAACCGCAAUCGGAUCUUGAAUGCCCAAGUAGUGUUUCCUUGUUAGAAGAUACAAAUCCAAAGACUCAUAUGGACUUCGGCUACACCAUCAAAACUUUGAGAAUCAAGAAGAAGUUCUGUUAGUGUUUUGGAGUCAAAUAUGACUGGAUGUCAUGUUUAUGAUGGCGUGUAAAACUAGAACCACAACGCGAUAUUAAAAGCCUAAGUAGUGUUUCGAUGUUAGAAGAUACAAAGCCAAUGACUCAAACGAACUUCAGCUAGACCAUCAAAGCUUUGAGAAGCAAGAAGAAGCUUAGUUAGUGUUUCUGAGUUAAAUAUGACUUAAUGUAAUAUGUAUAAUUGAGAAUAAGAACUAGAACCACAACUAUAUCUUAAAAGCCUGAGUAGUGUUUGCUUAUUAGAAGAUACAAAGCUAAAGACUCAUGUGGACUUUGGUUACACUAUUAAAGCUUUGAGAAGCAAGAAUAAGCUUGGUUAGUGUUUUGGAGUAAAAUAUGACUACAGGUCAUGUGUAUGAUUGAGUAUAAAAACUCGAACCGCAACCUCAUCUUGAAAGCCCAAGUUGUAUUUCCUUGUUGGAAGAUACAAAGCCAUAGAGUCUUACGGACUUCGGCUACACCAUAAAGACCUUGAGAAGCAUGAAUAAGCUUGGUUAGUGUUUUGGAGUCAAAUAUGACUUGAUGUGAUGUGUAUGAUGGAGUAUAAGUACAAGAACCACAACCUGAUCUUAAAAAUCUAAGUAGUGUUUCGUUGUUUGAAGAUAUAAACCCAAAGACUCAUACGGACUUCGACAUCACCAUCAAAGUUUUAGGAAGCAUGAAGAAGCUUGGUUAGUGUUUUGGAGUCAAAUAUGACUAGAUGGCAUGUGUAUGAUUGAAUAUAAAAACUAAAACCGCAAUCGGAUCUUGAAAGCCCAAGUAGUGUUUCCUUAUUAGAAGAUACAAAGCCAAAUACUCAUACAGACUUCGGCUACACCAUCGAGAAGCAAGAAGAAGCUUGAUUAGUGUUUUGGAGUCAAAUAUUAAUUGAUGUCCUGUGUAUGAUUGAGUAUAAGAACUAGAUUGGCAACCGGAUCUUGAAAGCCCAAAUAGUGUUUCCUUGUUAGAAGAUACAAAGCCAAUGACUCAUACGGACUUCAGCUACACUAUCAAAGCUUUCAGAAGCAAGAAGAGGCUUAGUUAGUGUUUUAGAGUCAAAUAUGACUUGAUGUCAUGUGUAUGAUUGCGUAUAAGAACUAUGAUAAUAGGUUCUUACUCAAUUAAUCCUAAAACACUAAUCUUGUCGUUGUAGUAUUUUAGGUGUCAAUCCAAAUGGGUGUGAUGCAGACAUAUGAGAUAUAAUCAGAAGUUUCUAAGUCAUGCCAAGCACAAUUUGGUUGGUUUUCUAACAGUCCUAGUGUUGAUGCAGUAAACAGUAAAAAGUCGCAGAAAUGACUGAUAUACUCGAUUGCAGGGUCGACUCCCAGAAAGGACCCUGUGAUCGAGUACAAUAGAAUGACAGAGAGUAAAAAUGCAGAAAUGGACCAGUUUACUCUAUCACACAGUCUCACUGUCAGUAGCAGGGUGUGAUCGAGUAGGAUGGUUGAAAACACGAAAAUACUAAAAUUCAAUAGCAAGUGAAUGAAGUAGGUAAGUAAACAAAGAAAUCAAUUGGAUGAGAAACUCAUAAGGAUGGGGUAAUCGAAUAGUGUGGUCUCCCUAAUCAAUUCAGUUGGUUAACAAAUCUCAAUUAAGCUAUCCCUAGACAACAGGUUCAACAACAGAUUAAUACACUCCCGUGAUAUAAAUUCUCAAGCAUAGCUAGACACUGACCUAAUUCCCAUUAGCGAUCUCUAACUAAGCAGGCAAUAAGAACCGACUGUUAAAGCCAAUAACCGCUCUAAACGGCCAAUCCCUUGGGAUAGAGACGAUUAUCACUGGAAUUAGUAGAUGCAACGUUCUAUAAAACGCCUUCUAAGCGCUGGAACGUCUGGGAUCGGAUUCCAGUUGAUCAUAAAGGAAUAAACAGUAAACACAACUAAUCCAGAAGGGAUUCAAUAAAUCUACACUUAACCAACAGAUUCGACCAGGGGUUCCACAGCUACCCUAUCCCAUCCUUAGAAACUCUAAUCACUACUCAGACAACAUGCUUAAAGACAACAACAUAGAAACGAUUGAAUAUUGCAUACUAAAAAUAUUAAAGGGAAUGAAACAAAGAUGAACAAGCAAAUGAAAUCAAAAUCUGAAUAACUUAGAAGAAAAAUCGAAAUACAAAGUUGCAGGAAUGAAAAGUGGCUGCUGAAUACUAGUGCAAAAUUCGUGUCUCUCAAAGUGUAUGUCUCAAGGCGAAACCCUUUGAGACUUAUUUAUACUAAGAUAAGAAAGCGGGUUUCGAGCCCACUUAACGGCCCAUGGACGAUGUGAUCAAGAGUGUCGACUCAAAGUGGGCUUCCUGAUGGACUUCGAAUGGGCUUCGAAUGGGCCUUCUCUUCUCUUCUCUUUCCGUUGCUCAGGUUGUCUGGUUGAGUGCGGAUUGAUCAAAGGGUCGAGGUGGUGGUUGAGUAGGUUGGUUGACAGAAUGGUCUGGGCUGCUUCUUGGCCUCUGUGACCGAGUAUGUGUGUUAGCUGUCAGGAUGGAUUGGUUCUUCUCCUCUGCGAUCGAGUAGAAUUGGUGGACUGGCAAAGUGGACUGCAUGGUCGCCUCUGCGAUUGAGUAGAAUUUUCAGGAUGGACUCCUUCAACUCUGUGAUCGAGUAGAACUGCAGUUGGGAUUGACUCCUCUCCUCUGCGAUCGAGUAUAAGUGUCUGGAUGGACUGUUGAGCUAACUGCUUCCCUCUCUCCUACUGGUGAUUGAGUAUGUUGGUGGAAAUGUGACUUUCUGUUCUGUUUUUCCUCUUUCUGAGCACCAAUAGACGCAAGACUAGUCCUAGACUCGACUAAAGACGCAAAAUGUACAAGAAUGAUGAUGAAUGCUAUGAAAGAUGGAUGAAACUAGACUCAAAGUGGUGAAAACAGGAUGUGUAAAACAUGCAAAUUAUAGACAUAUCAACUCCCCCAAACUUAGUCUUUGCUUGCCCUCAAGCAAACAAGUAGACAUAAGCUGAAGGAGAGGUUUGAAGGUGGGGAUCCAGAACCAAAUCAUCAAAUAAAUCAGAUAAAAUCAAUGUCCAAAAUGACAGUUCUAGGAUACGAUAUGAUGGAAUUCUACUCAAAAACGUUAGCCAUGCCUUAUUAUAGUUAAAUCUCACUCUUAUACUCGACCUACACAUGAUUUCAAAUCUACCAAUCCCUUUAACAUUCAUUAGUUUAGGAACGUGAAUCAGGCAAUGCACCAUCAAUGAACUCAUUUGGCUAAGGUGAAGGUCAGGAGACAAAGAUGAUCCCUUUCUGGUUGUUCAAGUUUAGUAACAGGGGACUCUCAAAAGAAAUGGACUGAGGUUUUGGAGAAUGCUAAAGGUAAGAGCCAACCUAUGCAUACAAAAAUAGUAUCCCAUCUACCCAAUAACAUAGACAGUGUAUACACCAGCAGAUGGUACUACCAUCAAGCCCAAAAUAUGAUCCUAGUUCUACCCUUUGCACUCAAGGUAUUUUUUUUUCUCAUUCUUAUCUUGGAUCAAACCACUCUUUCUUUUCUUUGACUCUUAUUCUAAGGAGAAGUUUCUUUUACUUUGAUGGAUCUAGUGGACUUUUGGUUUUCUUUGACAACUCUGACUCUUGUCCUAACACUUUCUUCCAAGCUCAAUCCUGAAACAGGCCUCACAAUCGUGAUCUUUACUAUAUUACGGUGAGAAAAUUAUAGGUUCGGACAUUGUUUUCAAAUAUUUUGCAUGUAUCAAAGCUCUUAUAAACAAGAUAGGAUAUUCCUACAUAGCUGGUGGGACCCCAACAAAUGGAUCAUGAAGUCUUCAAAAAAGAAUAGAUACGAUUGCAUUGCAUGUAGUAACAGAUGCGAUCAUACCAGCACUAAUGCACCAGAUACCAUCAGAAAUCCGCAGUUAAGCGUGCUUGGGCGAGAGUAGUACUACGACGUGUGACCUCCAGGAAAGUCCUUGUGUUGCAUAACUCUUUUGUUUUCGAUUUUUCUCAUAUUUUUUGUUAAAAAUGUAUUACUCUAUAACUUUUAGACCGUGAGGCCAAACUUGGCAUGUGAUACCUUUUCGGAAAGCCGAAAGAGUGCUCUCAAACGAAUGAGGAAUGGGUUGUUUUUCUACUCCAAAUUUUGACCUAAAUGUACUUUUUAUGGCCUUUUCUUGAUCUUUGCUAUAUUACGGGACAAAAAUUAUAUGUUCGGACAUUGUUUUUGAAUAUUUUGCAUGUAUCAAAGCUCUUAUAAACAAGAUAGGGUAUUCCUACAUAUCUGGUGGGACCUGAUAAUAUGUUUUUAGUCAAUUAUUCUAAAACACCAAGCAUGUCGUUGUAGUAUUUUAGGUGUCAAUCCAAAUGAGUGUGAUGCAAACAGAUGAGAUGUGAUCAGAAGUUACUAAGUCAAGCCAAGCAAUAACAGUUUUGGGGUUUCUACAGUCCUAAGUGAACAUGCAGAAAACAGAAACAAUAACAAAAUUACUAAAAUCACUCGACCACAACAGGCUGAUGCCAGAAGUAGGAUGUGGUCGAGUAACAGGUAGGAUAUGAAACAGAUAUACUCAACUGCACAGUCUGUUGCCAGACACUGGGUGUGGUCGAGUAUACUGGUCGAGUAACAGACAGGAAAUGAGACAACUGUACUCGACUGCACAGUCUGUUGCCAGACACUGGGUGUGGUCGAGUAAGUUGGUCGAGUAAUUGUAAAAACUAAGAAACAGGCAAUGAGAACGAUUAAGCGAUAACGAUAAAACAGAGAAAUAGUAUAGACGAGAAAUUCCUAAGGAUGGGGUAAUCGAGUAGAGUGGUAUCCUGAUAGGUUACGGGUGACGUUGGCUGGUGUGAGAAGAAGGGCGAGAUCAAAUGGAAGGAAAGGCAGAGCUCGUGAGAAGUUCCUGAGGAAGCUUCUAUUUAAAAGUGGCUAAGGCACAAAAAGACAGCUCGCCAGCUCGGCACAGAAAGACAGCUCGCCAGCUCGCCAACUGUGUCGUUUUACUUUUGGGUUAUCGAAAUGCUGCGUUUUGUAUUGAGUCUCAGUAGAUGCUAUUUAAGGAACCUUCCCUUUUAGGGUUUUGUUAUCAAAAUAAACAAUCAACAACAUUAAUCUUGAAAUUCUCUCUCUCAUCUACACUCUCCGCCGUUCAAGGUGCAUUUCCUAUUGUCUUGUUAUUUUAUCAGUCUUAGUCUUUUUCUUGUCUUCGAUAGGGUCAGACCUUAUCAUUGGUGCUUCUUCAUUGGAGAGACCGAUGGCUCCACCGUUACCUAAAGCCACCGCAUCUGAUACCGCCGUCGAGUCACCUGAACUCGGCUCGACAACAACACCACCACCUGAGGAACCUCCGCCAGCUCCACAUUUGGACACACGAGUAGACAAAGUGGAGAAAGAGAUGACUUAUGUCAGAGAGGCUCUAACCCAGAUCCUUAGAAAUCAGAUCUUUGGGGUUACGCGUGAGGGAAGUGCAGCUCCGAUAGGGUUCUCCACUCCGACACCGGCACUGCCUUUACAAGCUUCAUACCCACAACAUCUGGAAGGACCGAAUAGAGGAGUCCGUUUUUCUUCUCCAGCUCCGGCGUUACCAGUCUACACCUCUCAUCCUCAACACUUGGAGGUACAGAACAGAGAGACUCUGUUUUCCGGCACAAAUCAACGGGACACACACCCUCGGCCCUUACUCUUUGACCAGUCGCGAUACCAGGCGUCGACUUCAGAGAUACCUCGACUUCCAGCUUCACCCUUCGAACCGCGUCGCUUUCACUCGUCACCAUUAGAACCACCAGGGUUUCAGCUGAAUGCCUCCACGGGUCUUCCAUCAUCUUCAGGUUUUCCAUCUAAUCCUUCCACGGGGUUUCAGACUACUCCAACCUUCCAAACACAAACGUUUCCGCCUCAAUCUGCGCCACAUCAACCUCGGUUUGAAGCAGCCCCGCGUAGGACUGUGGAUUAUCCGGCUUAUGAAGGAGGCAAUGCCGACGAUUGGUUGUUCCGGCUAGAACAGUGCUUCUUAUCCAAUCGCACCCUAGAGGAAGAAAAACUGGAAAAGGCUGUGUCUUGUUUAACAGGAGCAUCAGUUACAUGGUGGCGCUGCUCUAAGGACAGAGAACAAAUCUAUACCUGGAGGGAAUUUCAAGAAAAGUUCAUGUUACGUUUUCGACCAAGCAGAGGCAGUUCUGCUGUGGAUCAUCUCCUCAACGUGAGACAAACAGGAACCGUGGAGGAAUACAGAGAACGUUUUGAAGAGCUCACAGUCGACUUACCCCAUGUCACAUCUGACAUAUUGGAAUCUGCAUUCCUCAAUGGACUGAGAAGAAGUCUUCGAGACCAGGUAGUUCGCUGUAGGCCAGUGAAUCUUGCAGAUAUUGUUGAGAUAGCUAAACUCAUUGAGUCACAAGAGCGGAAUGCUGUUAGUUACCAAGUGCGAAAUCAAGCUAGAACCAACACAGCUCCAUUCAACAAUCAGGUCUCCACAGGAUCUAGAGUGGUAGACCGUGCUCCAACGAGACAACCCUUCAUUCCUAGUAGGGAUACAACUCGUGCUUCAGGCAGUGGGGAAGCCAGGAACUCAAACCCGUGCCGCUACUGUGGAGAUAGAUGGUUUCAAGGCCAUAAAUGCAAACCACAAAAGCUCAAGGGUCUAGCCAUAACAGAAGAGGUUGAAGAGGAGAGUCCUCUAAUUGAAGAGUUGAAUGAACCACUGACAGAAGAAGAAGGGGAUCCAGAACCUGCAGAAGGUUUCAAGGUAAUGACACUCAGCUCCUUGAAUGAUGAGUCUCAAGAGCAGUCAAUGAAAAUGAGGGGAUACAUUGGCAACACCAAAGUGGUGUUAUUGGUUGAUUCAGGAGCAACUUGCAACUUCAUUAGUGAGGCUUUGGUAAGAGAGAAAGGAUGGUUAGUGACUCAAACUCGCAGUUUUGGAGUUAAAGUUGGUGGAGGCAGAAUCAUCAAAAGUAGUGGGAAGUGUGUCGAUAUACCACUAGAGGUCCAAGGAAUUGAGUUUGUACAAGACUACUACUUAUUUGACUUGGGAGAUUUGGAUUUGGUUCUGGGAUUUUCUUGGUUGGCAGGACUAGGAGAAACAAGAGCCAACUGGAGAGAUUUGAGGAUCAGUUGGCAGAUAGGUCGCACAUGGGUAUCCUUAUACGGCGACCCGGAUCUAUGUAGAGGACAAAUUUCGAUGAGGUCUAUGGAAAGAGUUAUCAAAUACACUGGAACUGCAUAUCUCUUGGAACUAGCAUCUUUGUUUGAAAGCAAGAAACAGGAAGAGCAAACAGCCUUGCAGCCUGCAAUCCAGAGGCUUUUGGAUCAGUACCAAGGGGUUUUUCAAACUCCACAGCUAUUGCCACCAGUUCGCAACAGAGAACACGCCAUUACCUUACAAGAAGGGUCUUCACCAGUCAAUAUCCGACCAUACAGGUAUUCUUUUGCUCAAAAGAAUGAGAUAGAGAAGCUUGUGCGUGAAAUGUUGAAUGCUCAGAUUAUAAGACCUAGCGUGAGUCCAUAUUCAAGUCCAGUUCUCCUAGUGAAAAAGAAAGAUGGAGGAUGGCGCUUCUGCGUUGAUUAUCGAGCAUUGAAUGAAGCUACAAUACCCGAUAAGUAUCCGAUUCCUGUUAUAGAAGAGCUAUUGGAUGAACUGAAAGGAGCCACAGUGUUUUCAAAGUUGGAUCUUAAAUCAGGCUAUUUCCAGAUAAGGAUGAAACUGAGUGAUGUGGAGAAGACUGCCUUCAAGACACAUGAGGGCCAUUAUGAAUUUCUGGUAAUGCCAUUUGGCUUGACCAACGCCCCCUCCACCUUUCAAAGCGUCAUGAAUGACCUAUUCAGGCCAUACUUGCGAAAGUUCGUCUUGGUUUUCUUCGAUGAUAUACUAGUUUAUAGUCCUGAUAUGAAGACACAUUUGAAGCAUUUGGAAACCGUCUUACAGCUACUGCAUCUUCAUCAGUUCUAUGCCAAUUUUAAAAAGUGCACAUUUGGAAGCACUAGGAUCUCAUAUUUGGGACACAUUAUCUCUGAGCAAGGAGUCGCAACAGAUCCAGAAAAGGUGGAAGCAAUGCUCCAGUGGCCUUUACCUAAAUCUGUGACUGAGUUAAGAGGCUUCCUAGGAUUCACUGGCUACUAUCGCCGAUUUGUCAAGAAUUACGGCCAAAUCGCCAGACCACUCAGAGAUCAGUUAAAAAAGAACAGUUUUGAUUGGAAUGAGGCAGCUACUUCUGCAUUUCAGGCUCUCAAAGCAGCUGUUUCAGCACUACCUGUGCUAGUGUUACCAGAUUUCCAGCAGGAGUUUACUGUGGAAACGGAUGCAUCAGGGAUGGGGAUUGGAGCAGUACUGUCACAGAAUAAGAGGCUUAUUGCAUUUCUCAGCCAAGCCUUCUCCAGUCAAGGCAGAAUAAGGUCAGUUUAUGAACGUGAACUGUUAGCCAUAGUGAAAGCUGUCACAAAGUGGAAGCAUUACCUAUCAAGUAAAGAAUUCAUUAUCAAGACAGAUCAACGCAGCCUCAGACAUUUGUUGGAACAGAAGUCGGUGUCCACAAUACAGCAGAGAUGGGCGUCUAAGUUGAGUGGACUGAAGUAUAGGAUCGAAUAUAAACCAGGAGUUGACAAUAAGGUAGCUGAUGCACUCUCAAGGAGACCUCCAACUGAGGCUCUCUCACAGCUCACUAUAACUGGUCCUCCUACUAUCGACUUGACUGCACUAAAGGCAGAAAUUCAGCAGGAUCAUGAGUUGAGCCAGAUACUUAAGAACUGGGCACAAGGGGACCACCAUGAUUCUGACUUCACUGUGGCAGAUGGCUUGAUUUACAGAAAAGGCUGUUUGGUAAUUCCUGUAGGAUCUCCCUUCAUUCCAAAGAUGCUAGAGAAGUUCCACACCAGUCCUAUUGGAGGUCAUGAAGGUGCCCUUAAGACAUUCAAACGACUCACAAGUGAAGUAUACUGGAGAGGGUUGCGGAAAGACGUGGUUAACUACAUCAAGGGAUGCCAAAUCUGUCAAGAGAAUAAAUACUCUACCCUCUCUCCAGCCGGUUUACUAUCACCUCUCCCUAUUCCACAACAGAUUUGGAGUGAUGUCAGCUUGGACUUUGUAGAAGGGUUGCCAAGCUCUAACAGGUUUAACUGUAUAUUGGUAGUGGUGGAUAGAUUAAGUAAGUAUAGUCAUUUCAUUCCACUUAAACAUCCAUUCACUGCCAAGACUGUAGUUGAGGCCUUCAUAAGAGAUGUAGUCAAGCUACAUGGCUUCCCAAACACACUGGUUUCGGACAGGGACAGGAUUUUCCUGAGCGGAUUCUGGUCUGAGUUGUUUAAGCUGCAGGGCACGGGGCUACAGAAGAGUACAGCCUAUCACCCACAAACUGAUGGGCAGACCGAGGUUGUUAACAGAUGUCUUGAGUCUUAUUUGCGAUGCUUUGCAGGGAGGAGGCCUACAUCGUGGUUUCAGUGGUUACCUUGGGCAGAAUACUGGUACAACACCUCGUACCAUUCAGCCACCAAAACCACUCCCUUUCAAGCAGUCUAUGGUAGAGAACCACCAGUUCUGCUCAGGUAUGGCGAUAUUCCAACCAAUAAUGCGAAUGUAGAGGAGUUACUUAAGGAUAGGGAUGGAAUGCUGGUUGAAUUAAGAGAGAACUUGGAGAUAGCUCAAGCUCAAAUGAAAAAGGCUGCUGAUAAAAGUCGACGUGAUGUAGCGUUUGAAAUUGAUGAAUGGGUUUACUUGAAGCUGCGUCCUUAUAGGCAAAGUUCUGUGGCUCAUAGGAAGAAUGAAAAGCUGUCCCAGCGCUACUUCGGUCCAUUUAAAGUGCUGCACCGCAUAGGUCAGGUCGCUUACAAGCUCCAACUACCCGAACACAGCACAAUUCACCCGGUGUUCCAUGUCUCUCAACUGAAAAGGGCUGUACCUCCGUCAUUCACCCCGCAGGAACUUCCCAAGAUACUAUCACCCACACUGGAAUGGAACACAGGACCUGAGAAGCUGCUAGAUAUCCGACAGAGCAACACAAAUUCAGGACCAGAGGUGCUGGUACAGUGGUCUGGAUUAUCAACCUUGGAAUCAACUUGGGAGCCGCUCCUCACUUUGGUGCAGCAGUACCCGGACUUCGACCUUGAGGACAAGGUCAGUCUUCUGCGCGGGAGCAUUGAUAGGUUACAGGUGACGUUGGCUGGUGUGAGAAGAAGGGCGAAAUCAAAUGGAAGGAAAGGCAGAGCUCGUGAGAAGUUCCUGAGGAAGCUUCUAUUUAAAAGUGGCUAAGGCACAGAAAGACAGCUCGCCAGCUCGGCACAGAAAGACAGCUCGCCAACUGUGUCGUUUUACUUUUGGGUUAUCGAAAUGCUGCGUUUUGUAUUGAGUCUCAGUAGAUGCUAUUUAAGGAACCUUCCCUUUUAGGGUUUUGUUAUCAAAAUAAACAAUCAACAACAUUAAUCUUGAAAUUCUCUCUCUCAUCUACACUCUCCGCCGUUCAAGGUGCAUUUCCUAUUAUCUUGUUAUUUUAUCACUCUUAGUCUUUUUCUUGUCUUCGAUAGGGUCAGACCUUAUCAUAUCCUAGCAUAUUCGAAUGGUUAACAAGCGCAAUCAAGCUAUCCCUAGACAAUAGGUUCAACAACAAAUCAAUUCACUUCUGUGAUAGAAAUCCUCAAGCAAAGCUAGCCCAGACUAAUUCCCAUUAACGCAAUCUAACUAUGCAGGCAAUAAGAACAGACUGAUAAAGUCAAUAAACGCUCUAAACGCCCAAUCCCUUGGGAUAGAGACGAAUAUCUCAGGAACUAGUGGAUCAAGCAUUCCAUCGAACACCUUCUGGGUGCGAGAAUGCUUGGGAUCGAAUUCCAGUUGAUCAGAAAGAAAUAAGCAGUAAACGCAACUAGUCCUGAAGGGAUUCAAUCAAUUCUAAAACUUAACCAUUCUACAGACUACGGAUUCCACAACUACUCUAUCCCAUCCCUAAGAAUUCUAUGUCACUACUCAGACAACAUGCUCAAAGACAUAAACGCAGAUAAAUGAUAAUAUUGCAUAAGUAAAGAGAUAAAGAGUAGAGAAACAGGAUGAUAGAUAAAAUCAAAUGCAGAAUCUGAAUAACUUGGAAAAAUCUCGAAUUAUAGGUUGUAGAAGCAAAAGCGGCGCAGAAGAGUAAAAUAGAAAAUAAAACUGAAACAAAAACUCAAUGUCGACUAGAUGUCUCAGGAAAGAACCCUAAGACAUCUAUUUAUACAAAACAAAAUGAUAGUAGACGGGCCAAUAACCUAAUCGCCCGACCAAUAGAGUGAUAAUGGGCCGAGAUGGGCUUUGUGAUCCGAUGGAGGUCCAGGCCGCUUCCAAACACUUUGUCUUCUCCUCUUCUCUUCCUUGUGCUCAGCUUGUCUGGUUGAGUGCGGAUUUGAGUAGACUGUGAAGACGUGAUCGAGUGUCCGGUCGAGUGAUGGUGAUGGUGGUGAGUGAUGAUACUCGACCAGGGGGUCGACUAACUUGGUAGAGUGAAUGGCCGAGUGUGGUCAGGUGGUGUGGCGAAGUGAUACUCGACCAGGGGGUCGAUGGCGUCAUCGAGUAGCCUGAGCUGAGGAUACUCGACUAGGGGGUCGAGUAGAUGGGAAGAAUGGCUCCAAAGUCACUCGACCAGGGGGUCGAGUAUGGUGCUGGAUGCACACGACCUGGUGGUCGAGUAUGUCUUCUGGUUCUGGCUCGUUUCUUCCAAUUUGCUCGCAAACAGCUCCAAAUCACCUGAAAACAACUUAGAAAUGCAAUAUGUAUGCAAAACUAUCCUAAUCAUGCAAAGUAUGCAAGAAUGAUGAGAAAUGAUAUAAAACAGCGAUGAAUGAUACAAAACUGGACUCAAAACGGUGAUGAAUGGACACUGAAAAGAUGUAAAUUAUAGACAUAUCAGGACCCACAGCAAAUGGAUCAUAAAGUCUUCAAAAAAGAAUAGAUACGAUUGCAUUGCAUGUAGUAACGGAUGCGAUCAUAGCAGCACUAAUGCACCAGAUCCCAUAAGAACUCCGCAGUUAAGUGUGCUUGGGCGAGAGUAGUACUAGGAUGGGUGACCUCCCGGAAAGUCCUCGUGUUUCAUCCCUCUUUUUUUUUUUGGUUUUUCUCUAUUUUUUUUUUUAAAAUGAAUGACUCUAUAACUUUUAGACCGUGAGGCCAAACUUGGCAUGUGAUACCUUUUCAAAAAGCCAAAAGAGAGCUCUCUGGUGAAUGAUGAAGGAAAAUGGAAUUCUUCUAUUGGGUUUUUUUUCUACUCCAAAUUUUGACCUUAAUGUACUCUUUUGGCGUUUUCGCGAUCUUUGCUAUAUUACGGGGCGAAAAUUAUAUGUUCGGACAUUGUUUUUGAAUAUUUUGCAUGUAUCAAAGCUCUUAUAAACAAGAUAGGGUAUUCCUACAUAGCUGGUGGGACCCACGACAAAUGGAUCAUAAAGUCUUCAAGAAGAAAAGAUAUUAUUGCAUUGCAUGUAGUAACGGAUGCGAUCAUACCAUCACUAAUGCACUGGAUCCCAUCAGAACUCC
rnacentral:lncRNA from 1 species